CAAAAUAUGUGCUAGUCAUGGUCUAUGAUUAAAUAUCAUAGUCUAUUAAUUAAUUGUGGAAGUAGUUUACAGUCUAUGCUAGACUAUAUCAGGUCGAGUACAUAACUAAGCAUAGUCUAGCAUAUAUGGUGUACAACUUUAUUAAUAAAUGUACUAGACUAGGAUACAUAUUUAUAGACCAUGACUAACACAUAUUUUGAAAAGGAUUAUUUAAUUAAUAAAAUAAUAAAUAAUUGAAUUUUAUGCAAUUAAAUAAGCCUAAACAAGUCAUGUGAUCGUAUAAGAGUCCACAUAAAUUGAAAGUGGUGAUCAAAGAUGUGUGAGGUGAUGAAUUGUGGUUAAAUAACCAAUAUCCUUAGGGCAAUGUUUACCAAAGCACAAGUAUGUUGUGAGGAAUUCAUUUGUUCAUCUUUAGUUCAUCCUCGCAUAUCCUUGAUCACCUUCUACAAUGUACGUAGACUCUCAUACAAUGACAUGACGUGUUUAAGAUCCUUUAAUAGAAUAAAAUUUAAUUAUUUAUUUUUUGAUUAACUAAUUUUUUUUUCAAAUAUGCUACUAAGGGAAAUAACCAAUACGGUAUAUUAUUGACAAGACUUACAGUCUAUGAUAUACACUGGACACAAUCGAUAGACCUCAUAGUGGAAUGAAUCGAUUACAUUGAUGGUCGAACAUCGAUAUUGAGCUCAAUCAAUAAGAAACUACAUCGACUUUUUAUUUUAUUUGGUAUAAAUCAACAUAAUUGCAGAUAGACCAGAUGCAUUUUCCAUUAGCAUAUAUGAAUUAAUUUUGACAUCUAAAAACUGUUUCAUUCAUCUUCUAAUAGGGUAAAUUGCAAAAAUUCAGAAAAGAAGAAAAUUGUAAAUUUAAAGUGGAGACAAAUACAAUAAACAUGAAAAAAAUUUAUUCAUAAGUUCAUUGCAAUGGUUUAGCACCAUAUUUAUAGGAAAAUAACCCCAAAUAGACCAAAUUCAUUUCCCAUUAUCAUAUAUGAAUUAAUUUUCACAUCUCACAACCGUUUGAUUAAUCUUGUAACAGGGAAAAUUGCAAAAAAUCAAACAAGAACAAAAUUGUAAGAAUUAAAGAGAAGACAAAUAUAGGAAACACAAAAUACUUCAUUCAUACUUCAUUGCAAUGGUGUAGAACCAUAUAUACAGCAAAAAAUAAGCAAAAACAACAAAAUAAAGAAGCUUUCAUCUAACAUAUUCCUAACCAUGAAAGCUUCCCAUUGCAAUGAACUUAAAACGAAAAAAAAAAACAGAAAUUAAAACCUAAACUAUGGGGAUGGUGGGGGGUGAUCAUCUCCUCCGGUUAUAUGUUGAGCCCCUCCACAAUCGCCCAUAAAAAAUGGGCAAUUCGCCAGAAUUCGUAGUGGCAGUGCUCCUUGUCCUGUCCUAGAUCAUAAAAGAGAUGAUUUAGGUCGUUGCGAAGGAGGAGAAGGUCGAGCUACGCUGGAUCCUCCUUCGUCUCAAAGAAAUGCCAGGCAUCUUGUCGAUUUAAUCUAUUUUAUGUGUUGAUGAAGAUAAAUUUUGGGUAUAGUAUAUGGGUGUUUAUGUAGACCAAAAUAGAACCCUUUGGUCUUCCCGCCCAGUGGUAGGUAGAUGCAUGGAUCGGUGAAAAUCGAAGAGGUAGCGUAUACCCAAUCGACACAAGGUGUGAGUGGACGUGUAAAAGAUUUUUUUAUGUGUAAUAAAUGCUCAACUGUUUAUAUGUCCCUUUGAAUAUUUUAGAAUUUUUAAUAGACUUUAUAUGGGAUCAAUAAUAACCUAUGUGGUAUAUAAAGAUUACUAGCAAUAGAUCGGACACACAAUAUAUGCAAUACCUUAAAAGGUCGAUAAUAGACAGAGUAAAAUUGAUAAGACUGCAUUACUCAGACCACUGAAGGGUUGUCAAAAUGCAUACACUUCCAUGACUUACAAAAACACAAAUUCAUACAAGUCUAACUACAAUUUGUUGUUGUUACAAGUGGUUCUCUUGUGCCCAGGUCUCUUGCACACUCAAUACUUGUUCCUCUUCUUUGAAUUGAAAGUCUCGCCCACGCCCUUAACGCAUUUUUUUUCUUCCUUCCGAGCUUGGUGACCACAAGAGGUGGAAUAAUAUUCACGUCUAGCAAUUUUUGUGGCAUGCGUAAUUCGAACUCCAAAGGGACAACAUUAAUUGAUUUCGACUAUGCAAGGAGGUACUCUUCCACUUUAUACACGGGUGAAGAGUAAUAACAGACUCUCAGAUCAUAAUCAUCACUGUACUUCACUCGCAAAGCGGACAUCGCGUGAGCACAUGGUAUUUUGAUUAGCUCAAACUUCCUACAAGAACACAACCUUCAGUAGGUCGACUUUGGCAGUAUAGCCACUGUCGAACACUGUGAAUUGCCUUUCGUCCCCACUUAUGUUCUCCACAUAAAAAGAGUCGCCCUCGCUCAUAUUGUCCCUUACGAUCUUUUUGGUGGUUAGCACAAAUUUGUUAUCCUUAUAUUUGAGGACAUACGCACGCCUCUUACUGAAUAUAUCACCAAACCUCUUAGUAAUUGAAUUAAAUAUAGAUGCCAUAGGGUACGCUCUUUUGGAAAUCAACAUAGCGUUCAUUGACUCGGUAAUAUUUGAGGUCAUCACGUCAAACUUGUUGUCGAAGAAAUAUGGCCUACUCCAUUUCUCAAAGCCAAGAUCAUGCUCAAGGAAAAAGGCUAUCUCAGGACAGUAGUUCUUGAAUUCCUCAAAAUGGUCGCUAAACUCCUCGGGAGAAUAUGCCUUUGCCGCGUUGUAGAAUAGAUAGAGGUGUUCUCCACAGUGGUGAUUUACCCAAAGAUUUUUACCUAGGUGUCUCAAGCAGUACCCAUGAUGAGCAUGGUUGUAAGCCCUUGCGAUGUCAUUGGUGAUGCUCUUGUGCCUAUUGGAGAUAAAGCACAAAUCUGGUCCAUCGACUACAAUAGACUUCAUCUUCUCAAAGAAGAACGUCCAAGGUGCAUCAUUCUCCUUGUCAACGAUGCAAAAGGCAGUGGGAUAAAUAUGAUUCUCCAUAUCCUGUGCAACCGCGCUUAGCAGAACGCCCUCGUACUUACUGUAUAAAUGAGUGUCGUCGACCAUAAUAACCUUCCUCAUACGGUCGAAUCCCCUAAUGUAAGGGCCCAAUGCUAAAAAGUAGUACAUAAAUCUACAGUCGACCUUGUUCACCAUGAUGGAAUAGGUAGUGCCAAUAUUAAGAGCGUCUAUAAUGUAUGAAAAAGCUAGCAGGCAGGAAUACCCGUGCUCUAAUGUCCCUCGAAACAUUUCCUUGGCAAUCACACCCCCCGACCAAUAUUUCCAAUAAUUUGGUCUACUUCUCAAGUUCUUGAAAAUGAUCUUCCGAAUCUCACUAGUGUACGAACCCUUUUCUUCGCGAUACAGGUUCACUUAGAGCGAUGCAAUGACUUUAGAUGUGAUUAUCCUAUGGAUGCACAUGGCGUAUUUGAUGCUGCAAUUAUGAUCUCUGACAUAUUUAUAGAUGACAAAUCUGUUCAUGCAUUGAUACUUCUUCGGCCACAACAUCCACGCGCAACUAGGACUAACGCAUUUCACUUUGAGGAAUUAUUUGCAACUCUUCAACGUAGCACAAUCAAAAGAAUUUCUCACAGCUGCUACAUCCAACAACAAUUUUAGCUCCUUUUUGCUGCUGAAUAUUUGAUUUAGCUAAAAAUAGUUCUGUUGGAGAAGGUGUAGUUGGUUUGUGCUCCCAAUCCACACUCUUCUCUCACUUUUUCAGAGAAAAUUGGAUCUUCCAAUUCCAUUGAAUGAUCUUCUGAAUCCAUUGGAUGAGCAUCCAAACUCUCAUCUUCAAAUAAAUCAUGUUCGUCGAAUGUCGGUUGUGGUGGCGAGAUUGUCGGAGACCCCAGGACGGUAUUUAUUUUCAAUAAUGGCCUUGAUAUCCAACAUGUGUAAAAACACAUGCCAAUCAUUCUUUAUGAACGUGGAAUGUAUUUUACCUCGCCCUUUCAUUACAUAGCUAAUCACAACGUUCUUUGGCUCGCAAUUCAAUUCUCCGCUCUCAAUUACGCUUCGAACCAUGUCGUCGUAUGAACUAUUGCAAGGCAGCGGGAUAAGCACUGUCUCCUUGCUAGAUGAUUUCCAUUUCCAAUAGUUAGGACCCUCCUCCCACACACCCAUAUAAUUACCACCAACGAUAAUUUCCUCAACUACUGCCAUAAUAGACCACACUAUUCGAUAAUAGAUUAAGGUAUCAGUCUAUAGCAGGUCAAUGACUGAUCGACCAUUAGUAUGAAAAUAUCCAUACAAAGAUACGAGUGGACUGAUUUUGCAUAUAAUUGAUGCCCACCUGGCCCUAGGAUGGACAAAUGUAUGUGUAGGACUUCUAAAUUAUUGAAAUAUAUCUAAUGACGAGGUAUUGAGAGGAUUUGAAAAGUUUUUCAAGCUAGUAAAAAUGGUGAAAAAAUAUUUUUUGUAUUUUUAUUUUCAAAAAGAAUGGAACAACAAUGGAGGAAAUGGUGAGGAAUGGAGAUUUUCAGUUGUGAUGAGCAACUUUUUGUUGGAAAAGUGGUCGAAAAAGUUGCCGGAAUAAAAAAUUAUUGGUGAAAAAGGGAGCUUCUAUUAGUGGCUUCUUGGAUAAUUUUUUUAAUUAAAAUAGGGAAAUAUAAAAAUAUAAUGGAAAAUAUUAAAUAUUAAAUGGAUGAGGUGGGAGGCUAAAGUGUAAAGUUUAAAACUUGUGUGCUAGGUUUGUAUGAAAGAAGUGAUGACGUCAUUUUAGUUUCUAAACACCUAAUUUUUCAAGACUACUAUCUAAAUGCCAAAAUAAGUUUUGAAAGUGUCUAUUUUGCCCUCUCUCCUAGAUUACUGCUUUGUUACUGUUUCAAGAAACUGAUCAGUUUCUUGAGGUGUUGAUACAGGUGCAAAGAGUACAAGACCUUUCUCAAAGGGUCAAGCUCGGAUUUACAAGUGGAUGAAGUCUUUUGGACCAUUUCAAGGCAUUGGCAUAAGUUGAAGAGAGGAGAAAGGAUCUUACACUCCAGGGCGCCUCACUUAAAGGGCAAUGUAUUCAUUAUACUCCAAAAGUCUACACUCAAGAGGCGCCUAUUUCUUGGCUUUCAUUAAGGGCAAUUUGAUCCUUUUGUGUAAUAACUAUAAAUAAAAAUUUAGGCUUCUAUUUUUCAUUAGCUUUUGAUGAAUAUUGAGUGAACUUAUUUGGUAGUCUUUAUUUUCUUCUCUCUAUGAGAUGAAACCGAAAUUAGGGUUAGCUUUGAGUGCGGAAUCACUUGAAUUGAGAAUUGGCUUAGAAAUAUUGGUGCUUGGGGAAGUUUGAGUCCCUUUUGUGUCAACAUAAGAGUGUGGUGUUUCCAUUACAAGCAUUAGUGGGCUUUGGUGUUUGAUACACACCUUGGUUUCUCUUGUAUUGUGAUGGUUAUGUCUCACUAUCUAUCUUUACUUUCAUGUUCUUAGCUUGUGUUUUCUCUCUUAAUCAGUGUGUUGUUUGCAUCUAGUGUUAUUGUUUCUUCAUCUUCUUUCUUUAGUUGUAUUUUCGGUUUAUAUAGGUUGAUCUCAUAUCAGUUGUUCAUCAUCAUCCAAAAAAAAAACAACACUUUCUUUGAUUAGCCUGAGAUCAUUUUCAAAAUAAGCAUGAGAUGUCUGUCUAAAUAGGAGUAAAAUUUAUUGAGACACUAACCAUCGACUUACUAAAGAUAUCAACUAUAAUUUAAGAACUAUCAAUGUAUUUCACCUAUCUUAUUUGCAUUUUAGAUAUUUAUAAAUAUUAUAUAAGUAAUUGCAUAAAUUCUCUAUUGUUACACCUUCAACGAUGUUAGAUUUGAUUAUUUAAAUAAAUAUCGCAUUUAAUGUCACAUUUGAACUCAUUAAAACGACUCACACGUGCGAAGAGCGUACACCUAAACUAGCAAUAAUGAUAAUUGUGAAAUACAUUUUAAAAAAAUAUCUAAAUAAUAAUAAUAAUAAUAAUAAUAAUAAUAAUAAUAAUAAUAAUAAUAAAGAGGAAAAGUUAUUUCAUUUUUACAAGAAAUAUUUUAAAAUUUUGAACUACACAACUCAAGCUUUAUAUAAAUAAAGUUUUAACAACAACAUCCAAGUUAAUGCAUCGCAAACAAAUGACUAAUAUCUUAUUAAAAAAUAUUAAUCCUUAUUUUUGUUAAUAAUCAUAUUAAUAUGUGAAGUCAAAGGUUAAGUAUCUUUUAAAAAUACUACAUCGAAAUAAUUACUAUAUAAAAAUAAAUAGUACAAUUCUAAAUUAUUAUUGUAGUAUUUUUGUAUGUAUAUUUAUAUUGUAACACCUCUCAUUAAAAUUUGACUUUAAGCCACAAAUUUUAUUAAGACGUUGCUAGAGAAAGGCAAAGCAAGAAUGAGAGAUGAUGGGAGUGGGUCGUGGAGGAUUGUAGGAGUUCUGAGAGCACAGGUAGAAGAACUUCAGGCAGCAAAUACUAACAAAGAAGCAACCACAAAUCUAAUGGUUAUGCACAAUAUGCCUGAAAAAGUGAAUGAAGAUGCAAUGUCAUGUUGUUGUUUUUGCAUGGGAUUCUUGAAUAUAUCUCUUGUCACACCCUUUUUUAACUCCAAAAGAAUUGAUUUUAAGAUUCAAAAGGAUUUCUAUUAUUAUGUGACAAAAGGUGAAAAUUUAUUCCCAAAAAAGGAUUAUUUUUACUUUCAAAACUUAGAGUCGCCACUUCACAUAAUUCGAUGUGCCAAGUCACCUUUGAAAAAUUCUUUUCAAAAUGAUUUGACUCUUUAAGGCUGGUUUGCGAACAAAGAUUCCGAGUAAGGAAUUUUGUUGACCGAGGGGAAGGUGUUAGGCACCCCUCGAUCCCGUGGUUUGACCACGCUCGCUUGGUGGAGGAUAUCAGCUAAUUUAACACUACGGAUGUAUAAACCACACAAAACACAUAAAAACAGUCAAUCAAACAAUCCAAACAUACAAAUCCCAAAAUAUAGUGUAUAGUCCAAUUAUACAGACCCGAAACAUAAAGAAUGCAGAAAUGUAAACCUACUCUAGUCUAGGAUAAUCCUAACUACACUCCAUUGCUUUCUCCACCCGAUGUUCCGGGCCUUGAUCGUACGCCGUCUUCAAGUACAUGAUACUUUGGGGCAUUCCCCGGAUAAAUCAAUACAAAUCCCAUGGGGCAUUCCCUGGCCAAAUGAAUACAAUAGAUCCCAAUGCAUAAAUCAAAACCACUCCACAGACAUUUCAUCAUUAAACAAUCACUGAUCUAAAUUUUCCUACCCGAACCUACUGUUGCCUACCCUGCUCGACCUAUCAAUCAACGACAUCAAUGAAUCAAAACAACAAUAUUCACUUUAUCAACUUUCAAUUCUCAUCCCACUUAUUUCUAUUUGAGUUUAAAUCAUUCAAUUCAAACAAUCAAUAUGAUGAUCCAAACAUAUCAAAAUCAACAAAAAUAAAAGCCACACACCAUGAAUUCAACACAUAAAGCAUCAAAUGAUUAAGAUUAAUCGAGAAGGAGAUGAGAAAUAGACCUCAACUAUCUUCCAAACAAUUAGCGACAGAUCGAAGCUCACGAACCAAUGAAACUCUACCAACCUCAAGAUCAACUCGUCAACUCGAUUUAAGAAAUUGCUAUCUAAAAUAAGACAGACGAACCAACGAAUAACGAUGCCCAAAUCUAAUACAGAUACAAAAAUGAUGCGGUUUAUGAGUUUUUUUUUAGAUGGUGAUGUCGUUUUCACCUAACCGGAGCUCUGGCGAGUUCAAAAGGAAUGGAAAACGAAGAAAACACUCAGAUUCCGGCUGACGGUAACUUUUCCCGAUGAGAAAUCGCCGAAAAACCCCAAAAUCAACCGGAUUUGCACUGUUUUUGUUCAAAACCUCGAUUUCUAUCUGUUUUUCUCCUCAAGCUCACUGAUUUCGUCCCCAAUAUCUCUAUUUUUCUCUAUUUUCCUCAUUUUUUUGAUUUCGAUCUCUCCCUCUUCGUUGUUCUCUGCUUCCUCUUUCAUCUCUCUCUCCGUCUCUCACUAUGUGGUUGUGUGUAUUGAAUAUAUGGGUGUCUAUGUGUUGAAUCAAAAGAAAAGAAAAAUCUCCAUUCCUGUAUUCUCUGUGUAUAUGUUGAAUUGGGAUCCUUUACUUUAUGGUCACUACGAUGUGCGUGAAUUCUUGUAGGUGUGUUAUUGUGAGAUUGUAUAUGGGUAUUGUGAAAAAUGGAAAUGGUCCAGUGGUGUGUGAUUUCUAUUCACUGUGUGUAAAUUUGAGUGAGGGUAAGUCAAUUUGUUUUGCUGUGGGGGCCCGGAGUGUAUGUGAGGUGUCUUUUUUUUGUUGUUUAUGCGUUAGUUAAAAGGAAUCAACAAUGUGAGGGGUGGUGAUGUGAGUGGGGGUUGGGGUAGUGGUAGGGUAGGUGAGGUGUAAGUUGGUUCGAAUAAUGUGAAAAAUGGCUAUUCUUGAUUAGGUAGGUUGUUAUCACUUUGUUAUUUUUUAUUUUUUUGUGGGGUAUAAUUAUAUGGACGAGGGUACACGGUAGAAUAAGGUAAAUAGGAAAAAAAUAUCUUUUGGAGGGAAAAAAUUACUUGUCUAUAUCAUGACCCCUUUGAAUGUAAACACGCAGUGUUUUUAGACAAAGAAGUAAGGGAUGAGACAGAAUUUUGUCCCGACCAUUAUUCAAAAAUGAAACAAAAAGAAGGAGGGAAACUAAGUUUUGAUUUAGGACAUCCUACCUACCCAAGUUAUGAGGGAAACAAGUCACGGGUAUCUCAAAGGCUUGGAGAGAGAAGGACUAUACCGAGUUGGAGAGUCAUGUGAAUCCCGUCGAGGUUUCAGUCCGCGGCUCUCUUAUUACAUCAAAAAUGAAAAUUAUAAGUUAAAACAUAAAUGAAAUUACAAAAAUCCUAUCUAUGCAGCUUCUUUUGGACUCUUGACUUGAGUUUCAUCAUCCUAUUCUUCAGACGGGCUCCUGACUUGCAAUUUCUUCAACUUGUUGUUUGGCUUUCAGUUUUUUCAACUUGUUGUUUGACAUUCAACUUCUUCACCUUGUUGUCUGACUUUCAACUUCUUGACCUUGUUGCUUGACUUUCAAUCUCUCAACCUUGUUACUUGACUUUCAAUUUCAUCACCCUAUUCUUCUGGUGGGCUCCUGACUUGCCAUUUCAUCACCCUGUUCUUCAGGCGGGUUCCUAGCUUUCAAUUUCAUCAUCCUGUUCUUCAGGCGGACUCCUGACUUUCAAUUUUUAUCACCCUGUUCUUCAGGAAGGCUCCUGACUUGCAAUUUCAUCUCCCUGUUCUUCAGGCAGGCUCCUAACUUUCAAUUUGAUCACCCUAUUCUUCAAGCGGGCUCCUGACUUUCAUCUUUCAUCACCUUGUUCUUCAGGCUGGCUCCUAACUUGCAAUUUUAUCACCCUAUUCUUCAGGUGGGCUCCUAACUUUCAAUUUUGUCAUCCUAUUCUUCAGGCGGACUCCUGAAACCAAAAUCAAAGCUAAUACAAAAAUAUCCCAAAUGAAGAUUAUGCUAAAGAAAGAUUUCAUUUUUUGAAAGUAUUGUCCCAUUUUCCAGGAGGGUCUUGAAUAGAAAGUAAAAUCUCAUUUUUCAGGAGGGUGCUGAACAGAAAGUAAAUUUCUAUUUUUCAGGAAGGGCCUGAAUAGAAAGUAAAAUUUCAUUUUUUAGGAGGGUCCUGAACAGAAAAUAAAUUCCCAUUUUUCAGGAGCGUCCUGAACAGAAAGUAAAAUCCCAUUUUUCAAGAGGGUCUUGAACAUAAAGUAAACUCCCAUUUUUUAGGAGGAUCCUGAGCAGAAAGUAAAAUCCUAGUUUUCAGGUGGGUUCUGAACAGAAAGUAAAAUUCUAUUUUUUAAGAGGGUCAUGAAUAGAAAGUAAAUUUCAAUUUUUCAGGAGGGUCCUGAACAUAAUAUAAAAUUCCAUUUUUCAGGAGGGUCCUGAGCAGAAAGUAAAAUCCCAUUUUGCAGGAGGGUCAUGAAUAGAAAGUAAAUUUCAAUUUUUCAGGAGGGUCCUGAACAUAAUAUAAAAUUCCAUUUUUCAGGAGGGUCCUGAACAGAAAGUAAAGUCCCAUUUUUCAGGAGGGUCCUGAAGAUAAAGUAAAAUCUCAUUUUUCAGGAGGGUCUUGAGCAGAAAGUAAAAUCUCAUUUUUUAGGAGGAUCCUGAACAAAAAGUAAAUUCCCAUUUUUCAGGAGGGUCCUAAACAGAAAAUGAAAUUCCAUUUUUCAGGAGGGUCCUGAAUAGAAAGUAAAGUUUCAUUUUUCAGGAGGGUCCUGAACAGAAAGUAAAGUCCUAUUUUUCAGGAGGGUCCUGAACAGAAAGUAAAAUUUCAUUUUUUCAGGAGGGUCCUUAACAGAAAGUAAAAUUUCAUUUUUUCAGGAGGGUCCUGAGCAUAAAGUAAAAUCCCAUUUUCUAGGAGGGUCCUGAACAGAAAGUAAAAUCUCAUAGAUGUGCUUUUCCAAUGGUUUUUGAAUUAAGUGAAGCGAAUAUGCACUUGUUUAAACAAAGAAAAUUUUUCAGUUAAAAACUUAGUGGUGGCUUGUAGCACUUGGCUAUCCCGACACCUGCUCCAGUGUUCAUUCACUUCAUUUUGUUUCAGAUUGUUGCCACUUGCCCCUGCUUUAUCGUGUCAUUGACCCAAAUACAGAUUAAGGGAAUAACUCUAAAACAAACACAGUAUCUCUGUUUUCCCUUGCUCCGCAGAUAAACCCUUUGAACCUUGGUAUUUUCAUGAGUUCCCAGACUUAUCUAUUGACAAAACUUUUUGCAUGCCUUGUUCUAACUUGCAAUCUUGUUUCUUUCAUGUGCUGGCCCUUUGUCUAGCUUUGUGCAACUGAAGAAGUUGGUAGCCAGUUUUGAAAUCUUUUCUCACUUAUUUUGUCAAGGACUUGACUCAAAGACACGAGAAAAAUGAUAAUAAGUUUUUUUUAUUUGGAUAACUGACUCAAGAAAAUAAAAAUAAAGAUAAAGAGAAGAAAGAAAAGACAAUGAAUAUCCCCAUUUGAAACAAAGAAACGAAAAAUUUAUCUAAAAUGAUAAUCAACUCUAAUGAUUAUGCCAUGCAUUUGGAUUAAGUUGCCUGAUCUUUUCAUCAAAACUUUCAUCAAUUGUUGUUGAGUUAACGGUCUUGAAACUGAGUUACUUCCUUAGGUCAAUUGUAUUCAAAACCUCAUUCGUCUAGUGACACCUUGAAGGAUUUUCACCAACAAGCUUCUCUCAUUUUUCUCUCGCCUCACCAUCGUCUUAUGAUGCCUGUAAGAGUUUUCACCGAUAAGACUCUUUUAUUUUUAUUUCUCUCAACUCACAGUCGUUUUACAGUGCCCGUGAGGGUUUUUACCGAUAAGACUUUUUCACCGAUAAGACUCUCUUAUUUUAUUUCUCUCCUGAUUCCUUAUGCUGAGGAAGACAAGUAGUUCCCAAAAUGUGUCAUCAUAUCCAUUGCAUGCUUAGCCUUAACAUUCUCAAAGAUUGAUCUGAAGGUCUUUCUUUGGUUGUAACUUGGAUUUUGGAUAAGGUUAGAAAAAAAGGAUGGCAUGGGGCACAAACGACAUUUGAAGUUGGGUGGGACUUAUAACUUUUGGAAUCGACUCAAUUAAUGAGGAUUAACUCAUGCCCCAAUUUUUUUUGACUGGGAAAUUCUAAAUUAUUUAUUUGGUUGGACUGAGCCCAGAGUAGGGCAACCUACGUAUCUUACCUCCGAGAGAAGAGAAUCAGGUCGCGUGUAGUUUUGGCAGCUUGUUUUGCAUGAUUUAGACUUUUGAUUCUUUUUCUCUUAUUGACACUCUUUUCUUUUUGAAUUUUUCUGACUCUAUUUGUCUUGACACUUUUCUUUUGAACUUUGCUGACUCUAUCUUGAUUCCAAAAGAGGGGUAUGUAAGAAAAUAGGACUAAAUCUCAAAUGAGGUAAACAAAGGAUGACACGAUAUUUGAAUAGUAGAAUGAAAUGCCUUCUUCAUAUCAAUCCUUGAAAAUGCAAGUACAUAUCGUGCAAUAUGAAAGUGAGAGAUAAAGAUUAUUUAUGACAUUGUUUAAGCAAUAACUUUAACUGAGUCUGUGCGUCACUACUCUUGCACUUUGUUCAACAUAUCACUCUACUUUUGUUGUACAUUCCUUACAUCGAAUGACUCAUGCUUUCGUGGAGUUGAUUUUUCUGUCCCUCGGGAUCACACAUCCGCUAUUUGACAUAAUUGAGCAAUGUUUUCAAUUGAUGACCAAGUUAUUCUUGUGAUUCUCAAAAUAAUUGUCUUAAUUUUCAAUGAAGGCUUGAACUUGUCACCAAAUGUCUCAACACUCUACCUAUUUUCUCAAAUGCUCUCUUUUUCUAACUUUAACCCUCUGAUUCAAUGUUCAUGCUUAUAUUGAAUUUUAAGAUCUGGCUGAAAGAUCUGCUAGCAUGUCAUAUCACUAGAAUUAACCUAAAAUGUAAUCUGUAAAGAAAACAAAAAAAACACAUAUUUAAAACAUAAAGGAAAAAGGGACACUUCGUUUAAUUAAAAUAAAAGAUAGAAGGGUUUGAACAUAAUGACAAAUGGACAAAACUAGAAAGAUCCUGAACUACAACCCUGAAAUAAUUUGGAUAACAGAAAAUAAACUACCAGACCUCUUCCUAGUAAGGAAAGGGAUGACUUCUCAAUUGCUCAGCCUAACAACUUAACCACUGUUUUGCAUAUCAGCAUGACUAAAACUUUCCUCAUUGUCAAUAUUUUGCACCAUAAUUGAUUAAUCUUGAAUCAUCUUUUCAAUUUCUCUUUUCAAAGCACGACAAUCUUCAAUACUGUGACUCUGAACCUCGGAAUGAUCUGCACAUCGUACAUUAGGAUCAAAACUUAUUGAAUAAGGGCCAGGAGUAUAACCAAGGAGAGGAGUGAUCAUGCCCCAUUAUACCAAUCUCUGAAAUAAACUGGCAUACGACUCUCCAAUUGGUGUGAAGUUAUCCCUCAACUUUUGUCUCAUUUCAUUGUUUAACUUGGAUCGAACAUCAGGCCUAGAAGGGCUUUGGUAUGUUUGUGGAAUUGGUGGAUGAUUUUGAGGAGUUGGUGUGUGCCAUUGUGAGUAAGAAGGGAGUUGAACAUAUAGUUAUGCGCAAUAUACUAGAUAUGAAGGUAGAGAAACAGAGUAUAAUGGAUUUUGGGAGUGAUUAUGAAGAGCUUGGAUAUGAACUUAGGCUUGAGACUGACGGUAACAACGGCGUCGUCUUCUUGGAUGUGCCCGUUCUCCAACUACAAUAGCAGUGUCAUCUUUCUCAUUCUUCUCCCCUUCAAGUUUCCUUAAUUGAUCGCAAUACUGUCCCAAAUGUUUCACGGAUUCCUCAUGCCUAUCUUGCUCCUCAAAUUUUGACAUCUCAAAGAUUAAAGGAAGGUUAGCACUUUAAGGCAUGCCCCAGUCUUUGUAUGAAAUAUCUUCUUUACCCGCAGGUCCUAGAGAAUUUUUCAUAGCAUUUUCUGCACUCUUCAUUUUUCCAACCAUUUUCUCCGACUCUUCUGGCACACGAGACUUCUUGUUAAGAAAUUUUGGUGGUCCAGUUAACUUAAAAGCAGGAUCAGGAGUAUAACAAUGAUCACCAAGAGUAUUGAAUAUAGGUUCACUAGCAGCAUGGGGACGCAUAACCGUUGGGCGAGCUAGUGUGGAAGUCCCAGUAGAGGAUUGAGCAAUAAGAUCACAGACAAUAUAUGGUGCUGUGAAUGUGGUAGACUUAUACUGAUGAGCUAAAGAAAAAGUGGUGGAAGUAUUAAGGUGCAUUUGAUGUAGAAUAAAUUCUGAGGCAUUCUGUGGUGCAUCAACAACAGUAGGAAACUGACUUUGCGAUUUUGGUGGAAGACUCAAGGUAUUUGUAGGGUCAAAAGUGGGGAACAAAGGUGGAGGCAUCCCACUGGCUCAAGCUCGAUGCAUUUCUGUCAUUUGUUGCCUUAGUCUCCUAAUCUCUUGCUUUAAACUCUCGUUUUCAUGACUCUUUGUUUGAUCCAUGAUGUCACUCUCUAUAUCUUUGUUGGACAGAAUUAACCCUUUGGAUUUGGAGUGAUGUGGAGGGCCAGCCAGAAUGCCAUAAACCAACCACCUUAAACUGACUUAACAAAAACAACAAAUGUAUUAGAGUUCAACACUUUUUCAAAACUCUUUUCCCUUCUUUUUUUGAAAAGAUCACCGAACCCAAGAAGGGCUCCUACGUAUCUCACUCUCGAGAGAGGAGAAUCAGGGGUGCGUAGUUUGUCCAGAUAGGAAAAUUAAUGAUUAAAUAACCGACUGUACACUGACUUGAGAGACGCGACCACAAACAGAAGAUGAAAAACAUCAAUAAAAUCUUUUUGAGUUUUCACUUUAACACUUAACCUAAAAAUGACACCAACAAAUAUGAAAGGAAAAACUUUUUUCUUUUUUGCAUUUUCGUUAUAAAAGAUGUACAAAACUUGUACUAUCUUUUGAUUUUCUUUUAUAAAAGGCUCCUAUUAAGGAAAAUCUUAUUUUCGAAAUUUUCGAAUUAUGAAUGCUUACUAAAGAAACAAAAGAAAUUUUUUUUCGAUGUUUUUGUUUUUGACAAAUGAGUGCAAAAGGUAAAAAGUAUUUUUGAAUUAUAAAAAACAAAAGCCAUAAAGAACUCUAAAAACUACAAAAACUUUUUUUUGACUCUUUUUUCCCUUUUUUUUCGAUUUUUCCAUGCCCACACACCCUUCUUUAAUUCUAGCAAAUGUUUUCCCCAAAUCAGUCCAUCAAAUGACCAUAUUACCCUCAAAGAUGCAACAGUUAGCACGUUGGGAUGCUUCAGGGAUGACCUCCUACAAAGGGCCAAGUAGGCCCCUCUAGGUCUUCAAAAUGAUGAAUAUAAACAUGACCUAAAGGCUGAUCUACGUUGGGGUUCACUAACAAGGCUGUUUGGGGGAGCUUAUGGUCGAUAGUGGCUGCUUUGCUUUCCACCUACUCCAUAACACCGAAGGCUCCCUCCCUAAAAUAAGGGUGACUCAACUAGAGGUCGUGUACAACACGUGUACUACAGACUUGUUGCAGAAAGAAUGACUCGGGUUAUGCACAUGAUUUCAGAUAUAAAACGGUAACACAUAAGAUAAAAACUGUAAACAAAGAGCACAUAGGCACUCAACAAUGAUAAUACAAUAACACAAAACAACACAAACAAAAUGUUCAUACCCCUAUAGUGCCAAACUAAGCUGAUACAACUCCAAAAUAAGCUUGAAUUCUUAAAUAUUCCCCAGCAGAGUCACCAGAGCUGUCACACCCUUUUUUUAACUCCAAAAGAACUGAUUUUAAGGUUCAAAAGGGUUUUUAUUAUUAUGUGACAAAAGGUGAAAAUUUAUUCCGACAAAAGAAUUAUUUUAACUUUCAAAACUUAGAGAUUCCGACUAAGGAAUUCUGUUGACCGAGGGGAAGGUGUUAGGCACCCCUCGAUCCCUUGGUUUGACCACGGUCACGUGAUGGAGCAUAUCGGCUAAUUUAACACUAUGGAUGUAUAAACCACACAAAACACAUAAAAAUAAUCAAUCAAACAAACCAAACAUACGAAUCCCCAAAUAUAGUGUAUAGUCCAAUUAUACAGACCCAAAACAUAAAGAAUGCAGAAAUGUAAACCUACUCUAUUCUAGGCCUUGAUCGUACGCUGUCUUCAAGUACAUGAUACUUUGGGGCAUUCCUCGGAUAAAUCAAUACAAAUUCCAUGAGGCAUUCCCCGGUCAAAUGAAUACAAUAGAUCCCAAUGCAUAAAUCAAAACCACUUCACAAACAUUUCAUCAUACAACAAUCACUGAUCUAAAUUUUCCUACCCGAGCCUACUGUUGCCUACCCCGCUCGACCUAUCAAUCAACGACAUCAAUGAAUCAAAACAACAAUAUUCACUUUAUCAACUUUCAAUUCUCAUCCCACUUAUUUCUAAUUGAGUUUAAAUCAUUCAAUUCAAACAAUCAAUAUGAUGAUCCAAACAUAUCAUAAUCAAUGAAAAUAAAAGCCACACACCAUAAAUUCAACACAUAAAGCAUCAAAUGAUUAAGAUUAAUCGAGAAGCAGAUGAGAAAUGGACCUCAACUUUAUUCCGAACAAUUAGUGACGGAUCGAAGCUCAUGAACCAACGAACCUCGACCAACCUCAAGAUCAACCCGUCAACUCGAUUUGAGAAAUUGCAAUCCGAAACAAGACAGACGAACCAACGAAAAAUGAUGCUCAAAUCUAAUAUAGAUACGAACAAGACGCGGUUUAUGAGUCGUUUUUACCUGAUGAUGUCGUUUUCAUCUCGUUGGAGCUCCGGCGAGUUCAGAAGGAACGAAAAACGGAGAAGACGCUCAGCUUCCGGCCGACAUUAACUUUUCCCGGUGAGAAAUCGCUGGAAUACCCCAAAAUCAAUCGGAUUUGCACUGUUUUUGUUCAACACCUCGAUUUCUAUCUGUUUUUCUCCUCAAUCUCACUAAUUUCAUCCCCAAACUCUCCGUUUCUCUAUAUAUUCCUCUUUUUUUUUAUUUCGAUCUCUCCCUCUUCGUUGUUCUCUGCUUCCUCUUUCGUCUCUCUCUCCAUCUCUCACUGUGUGGCUGUGUGUAUUGAAUAUAUGGGUGUCGUUGAAUCAAAAGAAAAGAAAAUCUUCAUUCCCGUAUUCUCUGUGUAUAUGUCGAAUUGGGAUCCUUUACUUUAUGGUCACUGUGAUGUGCAUGAAUUCCUGUAGGUGUGUUAUUGUGAGAUUGUAUAUGGGUAUCGUGAAAAAUGGAAAUGGUCCAGUGGUGUGUGAUUUCUAUUCACUGUGUGUAAAUUUGAGUGAGGGUAAGUCAAUUUGUUUUGCUGUGGGGCCCGAAGUGUAUGUGAGGUGUCCUAUUUUUUUUGUUGUUUAUGUGUUGGUUAAAAGGAAUCAACAAUGUGAGGGGUGGUGACGUGAGUGGAGGGUGGGGUAGUGGUUGGGUAGGUGAGGUGUAAGUUGGUUAGAAUAAUGUAAAAAAUGACUAUUCUUGAUUGGAUAGGUUGUUAUAAUUUUGUUAUUUUUUGUCUUUUUGUGGGGUAUAAUUAUAUGGACAAGGAUACACAGUAGAAUAAAGUAAAUAGGUGAAAAAUAUUUUUUGGAGAGAUAAAAUUAUGUGUCUACAUCUUUUUUUUUUUAAUGAUGCAAAAUUUAAUUAAUCAUAAAACAUGAAAUUUAAAUAUUUGAAAAUUAAAGAUAAUUACUGUGUUAAAAUCUACACUACAGGUAUCUUAUUAGUUGAAUUAUUAUAUUCUUGAAAAUGGGAUGUAUAUAGGGUGUGUUUGAUAUGAAGGAAAAUGUUUUCCACGAUAAAUAUUUUCUUAGCAAAAUAUUUUUUUGAAAAAUAAGUUGAUUUCUUACUUAUCCUUUUAUAUUUGGUUGGUUUCAAGUCAAAUAAAAUUUUACAUUACAAAAAUAUUCUUUAAGUGAUCAACUAUAUAACCUUAUAUAUGUCUGUAAGAAUAAUUCUAGAUUUAAAAAUAAUUAAAUUUGAAAAAGAUACUUCUUUUUGAUGAAUGCAAAUUAAUAUAAAUCCAACUGGAUUGUGCAUGGUGCAGUAGAUAGGGCUGCUCCACUCUUAACCAGAGGUUGAUAGUAUGAUCCUGGAUAUGGAGAAAACUCUAUUAGGGAGCGCUUCCCCCGAAUGGGCCCUACGCAGAGAGAAUCCAAAUUAGUCAGGCUCCAAUGCAGGUACUGGACACCGGAUGGAAAACCAAAAAAAAAAGAAAAUUAAUAUACAUGAAAAUGAAAUUAUAAAUUCAAAUAAACUUGUCAUUAUAUAAAUGAAUAUAUUACAAUGACUCUUUGCUAUCAAAAUAAAAUAGGAAUAAAAAUUUAUUAAUAGUAAAAACAUCAACAAAAAAUUACAAUAAUUUUUACAUGAUGAAAUGUAGGUGUGAUGAGUUACUAAUAAAUUAGAAUAUAUGCAGUUGAAGUAUUACCAUAAAAAGAAUAGUUAUAUGAUAAAAAGUAUCUCUAAUUUCUUUCAAUAUAAGUCAAUUAAAAAAGCAUGACAGGGUUGAUUGAGAAAUAUAAAUACAAACUGAAUAAUUAAUCAACAAUUAUAUAUAUAGAAAAGAAUAUUGCACCAACUGGCAACUAAUCUAGAAGUUCUAAAGACAUAUCAAUUUACCACUAUAUAAGAAGGCUAUGUUCAGUAAAGACUAAUUAAUUUCUGACAUCACAUGUUGGAGAAGAUAAAUUGUUCAAGUGAUACGUAUGGACGUUCUAAUUAGAAUCUCAGUUUAAUUUGAAUAUUAUUUUAGAAUAGAUUUUUCUUACUUUAUCGAGUCAAUUAAAUAUACAGGUUAUGCGGCAUAUUCAUUUUAUUUUCUAUAUAUUUGAAGAAAAUAUUAUGAGUCAUCAUUCAUGUACUUUAUGUUUUAUAAAAAAUAUACUUUGUACUCUUUGAAGAUUUAAGGUAGUAAUCUUUUAUAUAUCUUACGUUUUUAAAGACUUAUAAAAAUUUAUCUUGAAAUCGAAAUGUGCAAUGAGAAUUUGACCAAUAACAUAAAACUUUACAUGUUAUACAUUAAAUAUGAAAAAACUUACAUUUCAAAUAUUGUUGCCUUAGAUUUUAAUGAGAUAAUAAUAUGAUUUCAAAAAUUAAUUAUUGGAUGAUAAUAUCAGUAUUCUAAUCUUAUGCUAAAUUAGUAAUGUUAUUUCAUGUUCGAUGAUAAUAUAGUUCUAUAAAUAGUCCAAUAUCACAUAUCUUUCAUAUAUAAGUACCGACAUGAUUUAAUUGUCAUUGGAUCCAAUGUCGCUAUAAGCUUUAGGGACAUUAACAAAUAGUGCUAAAAUAUAAUUGUCACUAAUAAUUGUUUCUAAAAAUACAUAUUUAGCAACAAUUAAGCUAAUCUGGUUAAUUAAAUGCCACAAAAUAUCACUUUUUAUGUAGUGUCUAAUUAACUUGAUUAUAUUUAAGUUCAAAAUUCAAUUUCAUCUGGCUAGCUAGUACAUUUAAUUGUGCUACAAAUAAUGAGGUCACAUUGCUAAACUCAGCUACAAAUAAUGAGGUCAUGUUGUUGAGUCCAAAUUAUUGACACCUAUCCAAUAAUGUGGCAUGUAAUGUUGUAUUGUCCGAACAAGUGAAGAGAAAGUGUACGUACACAUGCACCAGUAAGGCUUUGUGAGAUAUCGGGUGUAGCAGGAGUUAGGAAAGGUAAAGAUAGACCAAAAAAAAUUGAUAAAAGGUGAUUAGACAGGACAUAACACACAACUUCAACUUACUGUGAAUGCAUGACUUUGGAGACAAUUGGGGAUUAGGGUAGAACGGUUACUAGAUAGUCGAAUGUUGUCGUACUUUAUAUGGGAGCACUUGAUAGGGGACACGCCUCCUCUUAUCUUUAUUAGUGAUAUUAUUUGGUAGUCAUGUACGUAGACUCUUAUUUUUCAAUGUUAUUUGUAACAUUUUUUCUGUCGAAUGAGGUUCAAAUGAACCCUCUUCGAUGCCGCUCCCUAUCCUACAAAGAUAAGAAUAAGGUCGAUGUAUAUUAUACCAUCCUUUACACUCUAUUUAAUUUGUGAAAUUACACUAGAUUUAUUAUCGUUAUUAUAUAUUUUUUGUUGCAAUUUUGAAGUCAUUGAGUAUGUAAUAGAUUGACGUUAAAAUCCACUACGUAUUCAGUAGAACGUGAAUGUUUUUUUUAGUAUUAAUACAUUCAUAUUUGAUAUUUACUAUUACCUCGUGAGUUUCAAAAGCAAUAAUGAAUACUACCUUGACUAAAUAUUUGUUGAAUUAAAGUAUCAAUAGAAAAAAAAACGAGGAAAAUAAAUUCAGUCAACAUAAAAAUACUCUUUUAUAAAACACUUCAAAAGUAUUUCAAUAAUCAAUAAAGUAAAUUUUAAUUAAUAUUUUAAGAUAUAUCCGAUAAAAAUAAUUUAGUCAAGUCGUAGAAAUAACUUCUAACAGAAAUACAAAAUAAUGCAUAUAAUAGACUCUUGUGUUCGACCUUUCUCCGACCACGAAUAUAGUAGAAGCUUUAAUGAAGACAAUUAGUGUAAUUGAUAAUAUGUAUGAAAAAUAUAACAUUACAAAAAUAAUAAUUUGAAAGAUAUUGUUUAUGCCAUUUGCCAGCUUGAGUAUUUGCUAUGACUAUGAGUAUGAUAAUCAUGAAUUGCAACUUUUUAUGGCUUGGAACAUUCAAAAAGGAAAAUUGUCAAAAAGGAUAAUUUCAACAGUCAAUUCAACAGUCUAAGUAUAUUAUUUUAAUUACUCACGCUCUAUCUCAAUUUAUGUGAUAUUUUUUUCUUCUUAAUUAGUCCGAAAAAUUUCCUAUUAUUUCCUUAAUAAGAUGAUUUCUAUUUUCUAGUGACACAAAUAUAUACGAUUUGUUCUAAAUUACAAGUACAAUUUCAAUUUUUUUUUUUUUGAAUUCUUAAACUUUGUGUUCAGUCAAACACAUUCACUUAAAUUAUGAAUAUUGACGUAAUUAUCCUUUACUAUCAAACCUAUAUGGCUAUAUAUACUCAACAAAAGUCUCUAUCUCUCGAAACCUGGCCAUUAUAUCGAAGAGCUAAUUCAUUCAGAACUCAAUUACUAUUUUUUUAUAUAUAACACACCCUCGUAUCUAUUGAUAAAUUACAAAAAUAGCCCAAAAAAUAAUGUCGAUUUCGAUUGAAGCAUUGGCCAUGAUUGGAGGUGAUUAUGUUAAAGAGUAGCAUGGAAGAAUAUGAAGAACAUGAAGCACAAGUCCCUCCUCAUUUGUUAGCGAUAUUUCCACAAUAUAUUUGGGUAUGCAUAAUCUGUAUAGUAGAACAACAACUUCAAUUAGUUCAAGUUUAUAAACAAGAAUACAAUGAAGUAUAUCAAAUACCCUUAACACAAGAUCAAAAUUACCUUUCCAAGAGGUGUAUUUUAUUUUUCAGAAAAAUAGAUGAAACAGAAAUGAAUAAGGCCAAGUCGUCCAAAUUCAUGGAGUUUUCUUAAGGAAAUAAUUCCCCUCACUGUACCCGAGGUUGUGAAAUUUUUCCUCCCAGGAUAAAAUGGCCUUCAAUUCGACUAUAGCGGUACCUCAAAUAGUCGGAUUCUUCGAACGCACUCAAUAGUUUGAUUGAUCACAAAGAGUAUUUUGAAGACAAUAAGAGUUGUGUAAUCUAAAAAUUUCUAUAUCAAAACCUGUGGAUGAAACCAGGUUUAUAUAGCCACAAGAUGCCUCUUCAGAAAGGUGGCAUUGGUUCAAUUUAAAGGUGUGUGACUUUUCUGAAAAUGCAUGUCUGUUUACUUAAAACAGUGUAUCAUUUUGCUGAAACAGUACAUACCAGUUUGUGUGAAAUAUUGUGUCAUUUCAUCGAAACAUUGCAUUAGUUUGUUGAAACAGUACAUCAGUUCACUGGAAUGGUGCAUCUGUUUACUGUAACAGUGCAUCUGUUCACUGGAACAGUGCAUCUGUUUAUUGGAACAAUGCAUUUAUUUGCAGAAAUAAUGCAUCAGUUCAGUUUCAGCACUGCACUAUUUUGAAAAACUGCAUGCAUGUAUAAAUGGAGAAUCAAAACACAUUGCUGCAUUUUACUGUUUGGUAAAUUCGGAUCAUCAAAUAAAAUUAUCCAAAAAGAUAGAUCUCAUCGAUCGAUGCCAAAUCCAAAUCCAAAUUCGAAGCCAAAGCCAAAGCUGAAGCCGAGCCGAGCAAGCGACGAUGACGAUGACCGCGCGAGGCAUAUCUAUUUUCUUUCCUCACUUAUCAUGUGGAGUAAGUGUUCAUUAAUAUAAACACUACAAAGUUCUCUUCUCCCACCAAUGUGGGAGAAUUAGUGGACUUUCCAAUUUGGGAGUAUACCUUCUAAAUUGGUAUCUCCUUUCUUCCACCAUUUUUCUCUCCAUUUUUUCCAUUCACACUUCAUUCAUAUACUAUGAACCCAACAAUCCCCCACAUGAAUAGGGAAUCACUAUUUUUUUCAUAAAACUUUUACAGAAAAGUAUGUGAUCAUCAAGCAAAGACUGAUUACAUCUGGAUAAGUGAGUUCCCUUUGAACUUUCCGUAGUGAACAUGCAUUGGAUGCACUCGGUCAAUCGGUAGAUUUGAUAUCUUUGAAUCGUCGAGCUUUAAUGUACACCUAGACAACACAUGUCACAUAACCAGCCUUUUAUCAUUUAUGGUUCUUAUGGUUUUAUUCUUUUCUGCCAUGAACACGUCCCGAUUUUCAUGAGAGCUUAGAGAAUAGGCCUUUACUAAUAUUCUCUUUGAAGUGGCUUCCACUUUGCCCUCGCAUAGGUGAUUUUUAAACGUUCAAUCCUGUAGAUUAAACUAUUUGGUCUAAUCUGCCAAAUUUAGAUAAUCAUUAAAAGACUUUUCACCUUAAGUCUUAUCCUUACUUACUAAACAUUGUCUACAUCAUGAGAAUGAGUUGGGUAAUUGACAAUGUUGAACCUGUCAGACAAAACUUUUUUUGAUCUCCUUGAACCUAGCUCUUGGGAUCUACAGUCUGCUAGGUAGAGUUAAUGUCAUGCUGACUUAUCCUACGCCUUAAACCCAUUCCCUUGAAUGUCCUUUCUACUCCUUCUCUAGAUAGUCCUUUUGUAAGUGGAUCCGACACAUUAUCCUUUGACUUACAUAGUCUACAGUGAUAAUUCCACUAGAGAGAAUUUCUCUAACGGUAUUAUGUCUUCGUCUUAUAUGACAAUAUUUACCGUUAUACAUCAUGCUCCCUACCCUACCUAUUGCUGCUUGGCUAUCACAGUGUAUACAUACUAGUGCCAUUGGCUUGGGCCAAUACGGAAUAUCUUUCAAGAAAUUUCGGAGUCAUUCUGCUUCUUCACCGGCUUUAUCUAAUGUGAUAUAUUUAGAUUCCAUUGUAGAGCGAGCAAUACAGGUCUGUUUGGAUGAUUUCCAAGAGACUGCUCCUCCACCGAUAGUAAAUACAUAUCCACUUGUGGAUUUUACUUAGUUUGAUCCGGUGAUCCAAUUUGCAUCACUAUAUCCUUCAAGUAACGUAGGAUAUUUAUUAUAAUGCAAAGCAUAAUUGUGAGUGUAUUUAAGAUACCCCAAAACUCUUUUCAUUGCCAUCCAGUGGGUUUUGUUGGGAUUACUCGUGUACCGAAUUAAUUUACUGAUAGCGCAUGCUAUGUCUGGUCGUGUACAGUUCAUUAUAUACAUUAAACAUACCAAUACUCUUGCGUACUCUAAUUGCGAGUCGCUCUCACCUUCAUUCUUUCGAAGUGCAAAGCUCGCAUCCAAUGGAGUCUUGGCAAUACCGAAUUCGAUAUACUUGAACUUGUCAAGUACCUUUUCGAUAUAAUAAGACUGUGACAAUGCCAAACCUUGUGGAGUUCGAUGGAUUCUUAUACCUAAGAUCACAUCUGCAACUCCAAGGUCUUUCAUAUCAAACUUGCUCUCGAGCAUUCGUUUUGUUUCAUUUAUGUCAGAAAUGUCUCUACCGAUGAUCAACAUAUCAUCCACAUAUAAACAUACAAUGACUUGGUGAUUUGGAGUGUCUUUAAUAUAAACACAUUUAUCACAUUCAUUUGUUUUAAAUCCGUUUGCCAACAUGGUUUAGUCAAACUUUUCAUGCCAUUGUUUUGGUGCUUGCUUUAGUCCAUAUAAUGACUUGACAAGUUUACACAACUUGUUUUCCUUUCCUGGAACCACAAAACCCUUAAGUUGUUCCAUGUAAAUUUCUUCCUCCAAAUCUCCAUUUAGGAAUGUGAUUUUUACAUCCAUUUGAUGGAUUUGAAGAUCAUAUACCACCGCCAAGGUAAUUAACAUUUGAAUCGAGGUUAUCCUUGUUACUGGCGAGUAUGUAUCAAAGUAAUCAAGGCCUUCCUUCUGUUUGAAGCCUUUUACUACAAGUCUUGCCUUGUAUUUAUCAAUAAUACCAUCCACCUUUAUUUUCCUUUUGAAGAUCCAUUUAGAACCUAAAGGUUUAUUUUCAGGAGGAAGGUCAACCAAUUCCCAUAUAUGGUUGCUUAAGAUUGAAUCUAUCUCACUAUUGACUGCCUCUUUCCAAAAGGAUGAGUCUGAUGAUGACAUCGCUUCUUUAAAUGUUUGAGGCUCAUUUUCUAAGAGAAAUAUUACAAAAUCUGAUCCAAACAAAGUUAUGUUCUUUGAUUUGUACAACGUCUUGAAUUUUCUUUAUUAUGUACAUUCUCACUUGGUUCAUCUCGAGGUCGUUUAGAUCCUCCACUAGACUGUUCAUGUCUAAUUUUAUACGGGUAAAUGUUUUCAAAGAAUUCAAUGUAUGAUUCAAUUAUCGUAUUUUCACUAAUAUCCGGAUGUUCGGAUUUAUGAACCAAAAAUCAACAUGAUUUACUAAUUUUAGCAUAUCCUAUGAACACGCAGUCCACCGUUUUAGGUCCAAAAACCUCCGAAAUCCAACUCGGUAUUGAGGAAUUUGUAAUCCAAAACUGAGCUCGAUUAAUGAGGUAAGAUGAAGAAAAAACCAAAUUCUGAACCCAGUAAUUGAUGCGAAUGAAUCCGAGACAAUCAAAUCAUAAUAGUUGAACCAACCUGAGCGUUUCCCGGCUUAAUCUUCUUGGAAAUAAAAAGGAAACUAAGGAAUUUCAAGCUUUUGAAGACUGGAAAUAGCUGAACGAUGAACCAGCGGUCAAUUUCGAUGAAAUGUUUCGCCGGAGAAGCUCAAAACGGGGAUUGAAUCUCACCGGAAGACUAAACCAAGACCAGAUUUCUUACCCGUUCUCCCUCGUCUCUCGAUCUCAAAUCUCUCUCUCUCUUUCCAAUCUCUCACACUUCCAUGGCGCUUUUUCUCGUGUAGCUCUGUGUGUGUGUUCAUUUCGUCGAGUGAAAGAAAAAAAUGAGGGUAAUUGUCUUUCCCCCUUUUAGUGAGCUCCCUUUCUAUUUCAGUGGAUUUGUUUGUGUGUCUGUAUCCAUGGAAACCAACAAAAAAAUGGAGGAGCUCUCUAUGUGUUACUGUGUUGCUCUCUAUUCAUAAAAGAAAAAUUGAGUGGUUGUGUUCUAGUGAGAUCCGUGUAUGGAAUUUUUGGAGAAGAAGAUCCUCUCCCUUUUUUAUCCCUAGGUGCGUGUAUAUAUUUUUGUAGGUAGUGUAUGGGACACGUGAGUGGGGUGAGGGGUAGGGUAGUGAGGUGGUUUAAUUUGAUUGGGUAGGUUGUUAGGAUAAGAUAAAAUUAGUUAGAGGUUAUUGUUUUGUUAUUUUGUGGAGGGAUUAACACACUAGUGAGGGUGCAUGGUAAAGCGUGAGCUAAAAAUAAAUAAAAUUGGACUUCGAAGGGACAAAAUUAGGUGUCUACAGCAUGCCCCCUUUGAAUGUAAACACGAAGUAUUUUCAGAUAAAGAAGUACAUAACGAGAUAGAAUUGUGUCCCGAUCAUUAUUCAAAAAGAAUGAAACAGAAGGAAGGAGGGCAACCGACUCUUGAUUUUGGACAUCCUACCUACUCAAGUUAUGAGAGAAUCGAUUCAAGGGUAUCUCAAAGGAUUGAAAAGAGAAGGACUAUACCGAGUUGGAGAGUCGAGUGAGGCUCCAUCGAGGUUUCGGUUCGCGGCUCUGUCAUUACAUCAAAAAUGAAAAUUACAAGUUAAAAACAUAAAUGAAAUUCCAAAACUACUAUCUAUGCGGCUUCUUUUGGACUCUUGACAUGAGUUUCAUUACCCUAUUCUUCAGGCGGGCUCCUGAUUUGUAAUUUCUUCGCCUUGUUGCUCGACUUUCAACUUCUUCACCUUGUUGUUUGACUUUCAACUUCUUGACCUUGUUGCUUGACUUUCAAUAUCUUAACCUUGUUACUUGACUUUCAAUUUCAUCACCCUAUUCUUCAGGUGGGAUCCUGCCUUUCAAUUUUAUCACCCUAUUCUUCAGGCGGGCUCUUGACUUGCAUUCUCUUCAACUUGUUGUUUGGCUUUCAAUUUCUUCAACUUGUUGUUUGACUUUCAACUUAUUUUCCCCGGUCUUCAGGCGGGAUCCCGACUUUCGGUUUCACGAACUUUCGAUUUCAUCACCCUGUUCUCCAGACGGGCACCUGACUUACAGCUCCAUCACCCUGUUCUUUAGGUGGGCUCCAAAAAUCAAAAUAAAAACUAGAACGAGAAUUAUCACAAACAAAGAUUAUGAUAAAGAAAGAUUUCAUUUUUGAAAGUAACAUCCCAUUUUUCAGGAGGGUCCUGAACAGAAAGUAAAAUUUGAUUUUUCAGGAGGGUCCUGAACAGAAAGUAAAAUCUCAUUUUUCAGGAGGGUCCUGAACAGAAAGUAAUAUCUCAUUUUUCAGGAGGGUCCUAAACAGUAAAUAAACUCCCAUUUUCCAGGAGGUUCCUAAACAGAAAGUAGAAUCCCAUUUUUCAGGAGGGUCCUGAACAUAAAGUAAAAUUCUAUUUUCCGGGAGGGUCCUGAACAAAAGUAAAGCCCCAUUUUUUAGGAGGGUCCUGAACAGAAAAUAAAAUUUCAUUUUUCAGGAGGGCCCUGAACAAAAAGUGAAAUCCCAUUUUUUAGGAGGGUCCUGAACAAAAAGUAAAAUCCCAUUAGUCAGGAGGGUCCUGAACACAAAGUAAAAUCCCAUUUUCUAUGAGGGUCCUCAACAGAAAGUAAGAUCCCAUUUUUCAGGAGGGACCAGAACAGAAAGUAAAGUCCCAUUUUUCAGGAGGGUCCUGAGCAAAAAGUAAAAUCCUAUUUUCCAGGAGGGUCUUGAACAGAAAGUAAAAUCCCAUUUUUUAGGAGGGUCUUGAACAGAAAGUAAAAUCUCAUUUUUUACGAGAGUCCUGAAAAGAAAGUAAAAUCUCAUUUUUCAGGAGGGUCCUAACAGAAAGUAAAGUCCCAUUUUUCAGGAGGGUCCUGAGAAUAAAGUAAAAUCCCAUUUUCCAUGAGGAUCCUGAACAGAAUGUAAAAUUCUAUUUUUUAGGAGGGUCCUGAACAGAAAGUAAAGUCUUAUUUUACAAAAGGGUCCUGAACAGAAAGUAAAGUCUCAUUUUUCAGGAGGGUUCUGAACAGAAAAUAAAAUCUCAUUUUUCAGGAGGGUCCUAAACAGUAAGUAAACUCCCAUUUUCCAGGAGGUUCCUGAACAGAAAGUAGAAUCCCAUUUUCUAGGAGGGUCCUGAACAUAAAGUAAAAUCCCAUUUUCUGGGAGGGUCUUGAACAAAAGUAAAGUCCCAUUUUUUAGGAGGGUCCUGAACAGAAAGUAAAAUCCCAUUUUUCAGGAGUGUCCUGAACAUAAAGUAAAAUCUCAUUUUUCAGGAGGGUCCUGAACAGAAAGUAAAGUCCCAUUUUUCAGGAGGGUCCUGAGAAGAAAGUAAAAUCCUAUUUUUCAGGAGGGUCCUAAUAGAAUGUAAAUUUUUAUUUUUCAGGAGGGUCCUGAGAAUAAAGUAAAAUCCUAUUUUCCAUGAGGGUCCUGAACAGAAAGUAAAAUUCUAUUUUACAGGAGGGUCCUCAACAGAAAGUAAAAUCCCAUUUUCCAAAAGGGUCCUGAACAGAAAGUAAGAUCCCAUUUUUCAGGAGGGUCUUGAACAUAAAGUAAAAUCCCAUUUUCCCAGAGGGUUCUGAACAUAAAGUUAAUUCCCAUUUUCCAGAAGGGUCCUGAACAGAAAGUAAGAUCCCAUUUCUCAGAAGGGUCCUGAACAGAAAGAAAAAUCUCAUUUUUUAGGAGGGUCCUGAAUAGAAAGUGAGAUCCCAUUUUUCAGGAGGGUCCUGAACAGAAAGUAAAAUUCUAUUUUUCAGGAGGGUCCUGAAUAGAAAGUAAAGUCCCAUUUUUCAGGAGGGUCCUGAGCAAAAUGUAAAAUCUCAUUUUCUAGGAGGGUCUUGAACAGAAAGUAAAAUCUCAUUUUUUAGGAGGGUCCUGGAACAGAAAGUAAAAUCUCAUUUUUCAGGAGUGUCCUGAACAGAAAGUAAAAUCUCAUUUUUCAGGAGGGUCCUGAACAGAAAGUAAAAUCUCAUUUUUCAAGAGGGUCCUGAACAGAAAGUAAAAUCUCAUUUUUCAGGAGGGUCCUGAACAGAAAGUAAAGUCCCAUUUUUCAGGAGGGUCCUGAGAAGAAAGUAAAAUCCUAUUUUCCAGGAGGGUCCUAAUAGAAUGUAAAUUUUUAUUUUUUAGGAAGAUCCUGUGCAGAAAGUAAAAUCCCAUUUUUCAGGAGGGUCCUGAGCAGAAAUUAAAAUCCCCAUGGAUGUGUUUUUUCAAUGGUAACUGAAUUAAGUGAAGUGAAUUUGCCCCUGUUUCAACAAAGAAAGUUUGUCAGUUAAAAACUUAGCGGUGACUUGCAGUACUUGGCUACCAAAGCAUCUUCUCCAAUCGUUGUUCCUUUCACCUUUGUGUCAGAUCACUGAAACUUGCCCCUGUCUUGUCGCGUCACUAACCCGGAUCCAGAUUAAGGGAAAUGAGUUCUGACAUGAACGCUGAGUUUUCAUCUUACCAGGCCUCUGAGAUGCACCCUUUUCCAAAAGAGAGGUAUGAAAGAAAAAUAAAACUAAGCUCAAAUGGGGUAAACAAAGGAUGACACGAUGUUUAGAUAGCAGAAUGAAAUGUCUUCAUCAUAUCAACCUUCAAGAAUGCAAGUACUAAACAUGCAAUAGAACCAACAAAGGAUAAAAUAUCAUACAUAAUAUCUUUUGACCGCAUCAGCAUUGAUAGACAUCUCUGCCAUUUUUCCUUCAAUAUCUGUCAAAUAUAAGGCCCCAUUAGGCAACACUUUCUUCACAAUAAAGGGACCUUACUCUAGAGUGAACUUCAACCUUAAUUGCCGAAGCUUCUUUUGCAUCUACACACCUCAAAAGUCCUAGAUCUGGGGUUCUCUUGUAUAAGACUCCCCCGCUCAAGAAAAAUCCACUAGCCAAAUGCCUAAUAGUCCUCUUUUGACCAUUGGUGGCAUGUGUUGGAUAUUCUCCUAACUGUAUGUACCAAUUGAUAUCAAAGAACUAAGGUUCUCCAUCAAGCUCUUCUUCAACCGCAUUACAGUAAGCAUGCUGAUCACGACUCUCUAUAUGCACUGGAUUGAUGUAGGCCUUAUCAGGGUGUUGGAGCAUUGAAGACAAAAUGAAAAAAGCAUUAGCAAUCUCAUUGAGAAUUCUUGGAAUAUGCCUAAACUUUACAGACACAAAUCAUUGACAUAGAUCUUUCAAGCAUUAUCGAUACGGUAUUAGCUUUAAAUCUCGUGUCUCCCAAUCACCUUGAAUCUGAUGGACGAGCAAAUUUGAAUCCCCCAGCACUAAUAGUUCUUGGACUUCCAUAUCAAUAGCUAACCUCAAACCUAGAAUACAAGCUUCAUAUUCCGCCAUGUUAUUAGUAAAAUAAAAUUAAAGUUGUGCUGUUACCAAAAAAUGUUGCCCCGCCUCAGAGAUAAAAACUACACCUAUUUCGACUCCUUUCAUGUUGAUAACUCCAUAGAAGAACAACUUUCAAGCUGGAUCAGCAUCUAUAACGACUUCAUCUAUACACAACACUUCUUCAUCAGGAAAAUAUGUCUAUAAUGGCUCGUACUCUUCAUCAAUGGGGUUCUCAGCAAGAUGAUCUGCCAAGGCUUGGGCUUUCACGGCGGUUUGAGUCACAUAUACAAUGUCAAACUCGGUAAGCAAUAUUUUCCACUUUGCCAAACGACCGGUCGGCAUAGGCUUAUAAAAGAUAUACUUCAAAGGAUCCAUGUGGGAGAUGAGAUAAGUAGUGUACGAUAAAAGAUAAUGCUUCAGCUUCUGUGCUACUCAAGUUAGGGCACAACACAUCCUUUCAAGAAGAGUAUACCUGGCCUCAUAUACGGUGAACUUCUUGCUAAGAUAAUAAAUAGCCUGCUCAUUUUUGCUCAUGACAUCAUGUUAACCCAGGACACAACCGAAAGAAUUAUCCAUGACUGAUAAAUAUAAGAUCAAAGGCCUACCAGGCUCCGGUGGUACCAGCAUAGGCAGAUUUGACAAGUAUCUUUUGAUUAUAUCGAACGCUUCCUGACAUUCUUUAGUCCACUCUACCACAACACUCUUUUUCAGCAACUUGAAUAUGAGCUCAUAAGUGGUUGUGAGUUGAGCAAUAAACCUGCUGAUGUAGUUUAGUCUACCAAGUAAACUCAUCACCUCUGUCCUAUCCUUGGGCGGGGAAAAAUCCUGAAUGACUUUGAUUUUUGAGGGAUCCAAUUCAAUUCCCUGACGGCUAACUACAAACCCCAACAGAUUGUAAGAGGAUUCUAUAUUCAAUACUUGAAUCUCUAUGGCAAACUCAAUAGGCCCUAUAAUCAACAUUAGUUCUAUUUUGCCAAUGGAGUUUGAUUUUGCACCAUCGAAAGCCCUAACACAUACAUUAUUGGGCCUGAUCCUCUCAACACCAAUAUUCAACUUUUGCAAAGUAGAAAUAGGGCAGAUAUUUGCACUUGAACCUUCGUCAAUCAUAACAUGAGUGACGUAUAAAUCUUUGCACGUCACUUUAAUAUAAAGACCCCAAUUAUGCCCCGUACCUUCAACAGGUAAUUCAUCAUCAGAGAAGCUGAUCCAAUUGACUUCAAAGAUUUUUUCAACCAUUUUCUCAAGCUGAUUUACUGUAAUCUCCCUAGGAACAUUUGCUUAAUUUAAUACCUUUAAUAUAAUAUCACGAUGUUCCUUGGAAUGCAGCAAUAAUGAUAAGAGAGAAAUUUGAGCAGGGGUCUUCUUCAACUGAUUUAUUAUUGAAUACUCCAGCAAUUUUAUCUUUUUCAAUAAUUCUUUGGCUUCUUCUUUGGUGAAAGGCUUUUUGAUAGGUGAAGGUCCACUCACAAUUGGCUUGGACUUCCUUAAACUUUCAGGCAUGAAGCAUCUUCCUGACCGAGUAAAACCCUCUACCUCAUCGACAUCUUCCACUACUUCUUUUUCUUGAUAGGUCAUCACAGUCCACUUAUAGUUCCAGGGAACCUUUUAUGUAUCAAAUAUCGGAGGUUGGGUCACCGAUUUGAGAACAAUAGGCGCUACCAGUGCUCCUUACACCAUCAAGAUGGGCUUAAUCGGAGCUCUUACCACCGUCAACUUAGGUUUAUCCUGACUUAAAUCAACAUAUCCUUUGGUACCUUGCCCUGUGAUCAUCGGUUUCUUUGUGCUUUCUUGAAAUUUAUCUUCUCCCAUUCCUUCCUGGCUCAAUGACAUUGCUUUUCAAGACUCUGUUAUAUUUACCAAUUUUUCCUCAUUGGUCUGUAUCUUGACAAUAGGCUUAUAACACCUUGACGACUCCUUCCCAUCAUAUUAAUUCUAACAUAUUGGUUUCAGCAUGGGUUGGCAACGGAUUUUGGUUAAUGUUUGGAACCUCCGGGGCCUGGAUCAGCAUCUAAUUUAUGUCAAUUAAAUCUUGGACAAUUCUCUUUGCCAGCAUUUCUUGAUAUUGUGGCCUGGCAUGUUAGAACAGUACGCACACCUUUCAGAAUAAUUGAGAUUCCUCGGAGGUGGAUUUAUAAGUCUUCCUUGAAUUGGGCUUAAGACCUUCAUCUUUCUCAACCUAUCAAAUAAGCUAGCAUAUGAUUCCCCAAGAGGUGUAAACUAAUUUUUAACAGCCUUCUCUUUCUUGUACUUAGGCCUGGGUUGGAAACCGGGUCUGGAGGGGCUUUGGUAAUUUGGUGGAGCUAAUGGGCAAUUUUGUGGAGCUUACGGGCGCCAUUGCGGGUAAAAAAGGGUUUGGGCAUAUGGCUACAUACUAUAUACUGGGUACGGGGGUGGUGGAAUGGAAUAUAAUGGGUUUUGUGGAGGGUAGUAAUGGUGGGGAGGAAUAUAUAGAGCUUGGGCGCAGACUUGGGCUUGGGAUUGGGGAUAGGGGCGAGGCGGUCUUUUGGGAUAGGAAUGGGUUCCAGUUACAAUGGUCAUCAUGUUCUCUUUCUUCUUUUUACCUCUGAACGCGCCAGAUCCACCUUGAAUUGCUUGUGUGGUGGCUUUUAACGCGGCAAAAUUCAUUAUUCAGCCGGUAUUGAUUCCGUCCUCGAUUAUCUCUCCCAUUUUGAGGACUUUAAUAAAAGACUUACCCAUUGCCGGAAGUAAAUGUUGAAAAUAGGUCUCAUCCAGUGCCUGAAUAAAGACCUCUACCAGCUUACUCUCCUUUAUUGGAGGCUUUACCCUGACAUCCUAUUGACGCCACCUUAUCGCGUAUUCCCUAAAGCCUUCAGUGUUUUUCUUCUUCAUGUUAACCAAGGAUUUUUCAUCAGGAAUCAGGUCGACAUUAUACUGAAAAUGUUUUACAAACUCAGAAGCUAAGUCAUCCCAGUUGUUCCACUUGUUGAUAUCUUGAUCGACAAACCAUUCUGAAGCCAGAUUGAAAAGACUAUUGCCAAAGAAAUCCAUGAGCAACUCUCCUCUUCCCCCUACAACCAUCAAUUGGUUACAAUAACGUCUCAAGUGUGCCACGGGAUCACCAUGCCCAGCAUAUUUCUCGAACUUGGGCAUUUUAAAAUCGAGGGGAAGGUUGACAUCUGGGAACAUACAAAGAUCCUUGUAGGAAACACUCUUAUACCCUCCAAUCCCCUGUAAAUUCCUCAUGGCUUGUUCUAAACUCUUUAAUUUCUGCGCCAUGAGUUCUUGUUCCUCUAUUGCAACAGGAUUUUCAUUAUCAAAUUAAAAUACGUGUGGCUGAGUGUACCCAUACGGUUUAUUCAUCUUUAAAGUAGGUUCUAGGGCAUAAUACUGAUUAUCUAAAACCUUUAAUACUGGCUCACUAGCAGACCGAGGGAGUACCAUUGUCGGACACACAGUGUAGGCAGGAGCUUCAGGUGGUGGCGGAGCCACAAACACAGGCGUUGCCGGUGGCGCCGGCUGAGUUGCGGGCCUUGGUUGAGGAACUGCCAGGGGCACACUAGAAGUGCCAGGGUAAUAUUUUUGCGGAGUGAAUCCUGGCGCGUGCUACGGUGACUCAAUGGGAAUAGAGAAUUGUUCCUGAUAGAGCGGUGGGCAAUUGGGGAUAUUCCCAAGAUCUUCAGGGAGUGGAGGAGGAGGCAUGCUACUAGCCCAUGCUCGGUGAAGAUCUAGAAAUUGUUGUCUAAGUCUCAAUACCUUAUCAUUGCGUUCUAAACUUUCUUUCCUAGGAUCCUGAUCUGGGUCAAUGAGUGAAUUUUCAAUCUCCCUACUAGUCAUGGCAAACUUCUAUUUUGAUCUAGUGAAGUAUGGAUGACUAGCCAGAGUGCUACAAACCAACCACUUAUCUUCGAGAACAUACUCAUCAAAGAAAAAACCCGUUAGGAUUAGGCCACACAACAAGCAUGGGAAUCACAUUGGUAAAAUUGUCCUAGAUUCAUGUUCAUUUCUAACAGCCUUUGAGGGUAGCGAGGUCAUUUUAACAUCAUCCCGAUCUUUCUCUACACUUAAUUGCUUCUUUCAUCCAACCACACCUCUUUUAUUUUGUUUUUUCUUGCCCUCGCUUCUCUUUUCUUUCGCAUUAGUCUCUUUACUUCCUUUUCUUUCUCAUCAUCCUUUCUUCCUUUUCUUCUCUCGCUAUCUACCUUUGUUUUAUCAUUCUUUAUGGCUUUUACUUUUCUUUAAAAGAGGAAAAAUAAUGAAAAACAACAAAACAAAAUGAUUAGAUCAAACCCAAAAGUAGGUUGCCUACGUAUCAUGUUGUACAUGAAUAAGAUCUUGCGUAGUUCGGGUGGCGCAUGCAUAAAUAUCACAAAGUUGAAGAUUUUUUUUUACUUUUUUUUUUUGAAAAAUAGACAAAAGAAAGAACAAGGCAACGUCACAACAUUUCAUAAAAGAGACAACUAAAACAAACUUCGAAUUUAAGAAAACUUUAAAACUAAACAACGAAAGCUAAACAACACUCUAAACCCAUAUGACAACAUACGUACUGCUCCUAAUAAAGACUCCAAAGUUAAAGAAAACUUGACACCGACUUAACAAAGACACAAUACUACAAAUGGCAAAAAAGCAAAGGACUCAAACUAAACAAAAGAUAGGAAAUGCUUCUUCAAACUGGUGCUCUGCGUGUUGACCCUGGCUGAGAUGGACCUUGUUGUGAAGUUAUCUUUCUCCCAUUCAAACUAUGUAGCAUAUCUUGUAAGGACCCUUCGAUAUUUAGGAAUGCCUCUGGCACGUAUUCCUGCCUCAUGGGGAGUACACUUGAAAAAACUGUUCUGACACCCCUCCACAGUUUUGAGCAAACCUAAUAACUGAACUCUUAGUGUCUCCACUUUGGCCCCUGCACCUUCAUUCUGAUGGUCGUCAACUAUGCAUUCUUCUUGUAUUCUCCCUCUAAGUUGCACUGUUAAUGGUUGACUGAUACCCCGAGGUAUGGAUCGAAGCCAAACCCCAUAUCCCUGAGUGUACUCUGGAUUAUCCAAACCUACUUUGAGAGUAUCCACACCUAGCUUUAUUGCGUGAUUCCAGAACUGCUCGUAUUUGCUCUCACCUAAGGCUUGGUUCUUGAAGUACUCAACAUCCUUUGGAAGAUCCACUACUGGUGGCACAUCCUGCGGCCUACCCAACUGGCGCAUUACCCUAGAAGGACUGUAUGGUCUAGUGCAAUUGAGCCCUAACAUAACUAGAAGGAGCUGUAUCUGACAACCAAACAAGAUUAUCUUUGGUCGAAGCCACAGAUAAAUCCACAAAAUGUUAUCCUCGGUUCUUGACUCAAGAAAUUCAAUCCAAGCGUCGACUCCCAUGGGUAGCGAGAAUUUAUCAAUGCGCAACCUGAGGUACAUGGCUUUCACUCAAUUGGGAACACAACGAUCAACCACGUUUGGUCUAACUAAAGAAGGCGCAUGCAAAUGCUCCAUCAUCCACAACUGCAAUAUCAGGUUACUGCCCUAAAAAAAUCUUAUUCCCCCAUUCACUUCGGUUAAAUCCUUAUAUAUCUCUGUUAAGAUCAUGGGUAUGAUAGUGAACUUGUCCUUUUGGUUAAUGAACUUGUCCUUUUGAUUAGCGACCUUGUCCUUUUGAUCCUUACGAAAUAGAUCCAUCACCACAUAUUGCAAACGUGUAUUAAUGCGUCUUUCUUCUAGCAGAAACACUAGAGUGACUAACAGAGCGAGGGUAAAGACUUCAAGACUCUUUCUUUCCCACUUAUGCUUAGUCAUAUAAAAUUCAUCCCAAAAGUGGUCAAAACCUUCCAAGGACCCAAAUCUAGCGAAUAGAAAGUCUAAGGAAAUCCAUGAUUGAUUUAGACAACCCAAAUAUCCAUUGUUACUCUUUAAACCACGUCCUUGUAGAAACCUAUUGCCCGAGCGAUUCCAAGCUCGGAUCAUACUUUUGUCAAUAUAAGGAAAAUGAAGUAGGCCAGAUAAUUCUGCCAAAGUAGGCAUCAUUUCACACUUUCGAAACCUAAACACCAAAUUACUAGGAUCCCAAAAGGUCAACACAGCAUCUAUUAGAUCUGGACGGGGUGGGACAUGGAGAAGUUCUGUAAGAUCACCUAAUAUCUUAAUUAGCUCUUGCUUGUCAGCGUAGUUGAACAUGCCCCACCACUUGAUUAACUUUUUGGGCACUUUGGAAACCAUCAAGACUCUAGACCCUAUAGGCUUCAUCCUAUAAUAACAAGCCAAACUUACAACUCAAAAUUCAAAACAAGACAAAGAACUCCCGACCCUCGGGAUUUUAUCUUAGAAAAAUGUCGUGUGACAUGGAGGGACAGACCGGCAUAUAACUCAAAUCUACCGAACAGUACCGCCAAAUAAAAUCUGCCUACUUGGCAAGAAUCAAUUGACAACACUAGAUUACGAGGAGAAAAACCCUACUAAGAUGGAGGCAAAGACCAAAGUAAAAAGAUUACUGGACGCGCCGAGGGUUGCCCACGUAUCUCGCCUCGAGGGACGGGAAUCAGGUAUGCGUAGUUCGUCCAGAUUAGACAAUUAAGAACUAAAAUAAACUAAGUCUUGACCUGAGAGCCGGGAUUACAGAUGGACGAUGAAAAAUAAAAUCUUCUGGGUUUUUAAUAGACAUUUUACAUAAAAUGAUACCACUUAUGAAAUUAAAAUCUUUUUGGUGUUUUCGUACAAAAAUUUUUUCUUAUUGAGAAAAUAAGUACAAAAGGUAAAAGUUUUUUAUUCUAAGUUUUUGGGAUUGUGAAAAACAAAAGCCAUAAAGAACUCUAAAAACUAUAACACUCUUUUUUCUUUUUUUCUUCUUUUUUUUUCUUUUUUUAUUUUUUGUUCAUUACCCACACACUUUACUUCUAACACAUGUUUUCCCCAAAUCAGUCCGUCAAAUGACCACGUUACCCUCAAAGAUGCAACACUUAGCACGUUGGGAUGCUUUAGAGGUGAGUCUCCUAUGAAGGACAAGUGGGCCCCACUAAGUCUCGACAUGAUUCACAUAAGCAUGACCUAAAGGCUGACCUAUGCUGGGGUUCACUAACAAGGCUGUUCGGGGGAGCGUAUGGUCGAUAGUGGCUGCGAUAGUUUUCCACCUACUCCAUACAACCCAACGGCUCCUUCAUCCUAAAAUAAGGGUGACUCAACUAUAGGUCGUGUACACACAUGUACUACAACUUGUUGCAUAAAGAAUGACUCGGGUUAUGCACAUGAUGCCAGAUAUAAAACAGUAACACAUAAAAAUAAAACUGUAAACAAAGAGCACGUAAGCACUUACCAAUGAUAAACAAUAACACAAAACAACACAAACAAAAUGUCUAUACACCUAUAAUACCAAACUAAGCCGAUACAACUCCAAAAUAAGCUCGAAUUCUAAAAAUUCUCCAGCAGAGUUGCCAGAGUUGUCACACCCCUCCAUAUUUAUACAUGAUAGUUUUUAAAUACGAGCACAAUUAUCCAUCCAUAUCAUCAUCGAUUUCAUGCUAACAACUACUUAUUCAGAUAAGACAGCACCAAUCACAAAAAAAUGUCCAAUUAGCAAACAAUACACUACCACAACAUCUACCUACCAAAUAUCAUAACAAGAAAAUCAAAAGGUAAGGAUUAGAAAUGGACCUUUGAAGAAACGAGUCGUGAUAAUAAUAUUAAAGAAGCCCAAAUUCAAAACCUCGAACAAAGAAAAACCUCUGAAAUCCAACUCAAUAUUGAGGAAUUUGUAAUCUAAAAUUGAGCUAGAUUAAUAAGGUAAAAUGAACAAGAAAACCAAAUUCUGAACCCAGUAAUAAAUGCGGACGAAUCUGAGAUAAUCAAAUCACAAUAGAACCCACCAACCCGAGCGUUUCCUAGCUUAAUCUUCUUGGAAAUAAAAAGGAAACUAAGGAAUUUCAAGCUUUCGAAGACUGGAAACAGCUGAACGAUGAACCAACGGUCAAUUUCAUGAAAAGUUUCGCUGGAGAAGCUCAAAACGGGGGUUGAAUCUCACCGGAAGACUUAAACCAAAACCAAAUUUCUUACCCAUUCUCCCUCAUCUCUCGAUCUCAAAUCUCUCUCUCUCUUUCCAAUCUCUCACUCUUCCAUGGCGCUUUUUCUCGUGUAGCUCUGUGUGUGUUGUUCGUUUCGUCGAGUGAAAGGAAAAAAUGGGGGUAAUUGUCUCUCCCCCUUUUAGUGGCUCCCUUUCUAUUCCAGUGGAUUUGUUUGUGUGUCUGUAUCCAUGGAAACCAACAAAACAAAUGGAGGAGCUCUCUAUGUGUUACUUUGUUUCUCUCUAUUCAUAAAAGAAAAAUGGAGUGGUUGUGCUCUAGUGAGAUCCGUGUAUGGAAUUUUUGGAGAAGAAGAUCCUCUCCCCUUUGUAUCCCUAUGCGCGUGUAUAUAUUUUUGUAGGUGGUGUAUGGGACACGUGAGUGGGGUGAGGGGUAGGGUAGUGAGGUGGUUUAAUUUGAUUGGGUAGGUUGUUAGGAUAAGAUAAAAUUAGUUAGAGGUGAUUGUUUUGUUAUUUGGUGGAGGGAUUAUCACACAGGUGAGGGUGCGUAGUAAAAUGUGAGCUAAAAAUGAAUAAAAUUGGACUUCGAAGGGACAAAAUUAUGUGUCUACAAUACUGAUUUCUUUUAAUUAAUGGUGUGGACUUCUAAUAAAAGACCACGUGGCAAAGCUAUUUUUAAAAAUCCAUCAUUAAAAAGUAAUGACAUGAGUGAUUUGAUUUUAUAACGUUGAUGGCAUGAAUGAGCCAAAUUUUUAAUUGAUGGCAUAAAUGAGUCAUUUCUGAUAGUUCAAUGACAUAUUUGAACCUUUUUGCUUAUUUUAAUUAAUAACGUGAACCUCUAAUAAAAUUCCACGUUGCAAAGUUGUUUUUGAAAACCACCAUUAAAAAGUAAUGGCAUGGAUGAGUUGGUUUUGUAAUGGCAAUGGCAUGAAUGAGCUCAACUUUUAACUGAUGACAUAAAUGAGCCAUUUUUAAUAGUUUAGUGGCAUAUUUUAGCCUUUUGUCUUCCAUUCAUUAGUAAUCCAAUCACACUUUUGACUUUCAUUAGUCAUUACACAUGCAUGCAGUUGAAUAUGCUAAGAAGUUUCCUAAGAUUUCCCAAAACUUCCAAAUAUGAAUCUGCAGAACAUGUAUGUGUACUAUAAUAUGCAUGUGUUACAUUGUACAUGUAUCUUCUUUUGAACAUUCCAUGAAACCAACCAUCUCUAUUCUUUAAGUGUGCACUGGAUAAAUCUGUUCAUAUAUAAUAGCUCAUAAAUCACAUAAAAAAUAUAAAUCGCGCUAGACAAGUUAGGUACGAUGAGCUCUACUGAGAAGGUAAUGGGCGAGGUGGGAACGAGAUCCUCUCACGUCCAUUUUGAUACCACACCCGUUGCUCCAACUCAAUCGACUAAGCCGAUGAGAAAUUAGCAGGGGCAGACCUACGUUAUAUUUUGAGGUGCUCCGACACCCACUAAACUCGACGCGGAAUAAGUAUAAUUACAUAGAAAAUAUAUGAAAAUAGGUAUAAAACAUAUAAAAGCACCCAUUAUAACAAAAAAUUGGUUGGAUGCAUUGGCAUUUGAGUUGAUCUUAAGGUCCUUCAUUGGAAGGAGGUCCUAGGUUUGAAUCUUAUUGAGGUUAUUUCUUUUAAGAAAAUUUUUAAGCAGCCACUAUCCUUGAAUCCUGAGUUCGCCACUGAAAAUUACGACCAUCUUACAUGUAACAUUCCUAUUAAUUCAUGAUAUUUUAGACCCAAUUUAACCUAUGAUUCUCGUGAUUCCUUCUUGUACAAUCUCGAGUACAACUCUAAGAUAUUUCCUUUUUUGGUAAAUACGACUUGUUCAUAUAUUACCAUAAGGAAUGAUGUAAUCUCGUGAAUUUAUGAUUUAAAUUUUAUGAGUUCUUUUGGGAUUCAUUUAACUUAUUGAAUUUGAAGUUACUUAUUUGUAUUUAUUCAUUCUUAAGUAGUAUUUUCCUCUACUCGAUUUAAAUGUCUUACUUAUUAUUAUUAUUAUUAUUAUUAUUAUUAUUGUUGUUGUUGUUGUUUUUGUUGUUGUUGUUGUUGUUGUUGUUGUUGUUGUUGUUGUUGUUAUUAUUAUUAUUAUUAUUUUGCAAUUUGGAGUCAUUGAGUAUGUAAUGAAUUAAAAUCCAUUGCGUAAGCAGUAGAACGUGAAUGCUCUUUCAGAAUUUAUGCAAUUAAUUAUAUUUUGAUUUAAGCCUCGUGAUGAGUUUCAAAAUACUUGACUAGAAAAUAUCCAUUCAACUCAUGAGUACGAAUACGAAAAUAAAAACGUGGAAAACAAAUUCAUCAACAUAAAAGUGCCCCUUGUACUUAAAAGUUAAAAUAUAAGAUAUUUUUUUCUUUUAUAGCUACUUAAUGAUAACCAUGAAAUUGAAACAAAAUAAUAAAUUUCUCUUAAUUUGUUAAAGUAGUAUUUUGGUGCAAUAUACGAAUACCAUAUUUAAAUGUGAGAUAGGAAAAACAAUUCAAUCCUAUUUAGAUUCGAUAACUAGCGUAAUUGAUUAGUGAAAAGUAUAACAAUAACAUAUUCUAUUGAAUUUCACAAGUGGGGUCUAAAAAAAAUAUGUAGGACGUAUGAAAAUUUUAUCAUCUCUAUCUUUGAUCUUUGACUCACUAGAAAAGUAUCCACUGCAGAAUUGCAAUAAGGAUAGCUUCGAUAAUAAAACUGAUCAUCAAGAGAGGUAUAAUUAUUCAAAUUCAAACUUUAUUUUAAUUUCUUCACAAGUAUAUUACCUUUUUGGCUUUGAAACUUUCUCUAUAUUGUCAAAAAAGUUAAUUUUCAAGAGUCAAUUCAAACAUUCUAAUUAUGUAGAAUAUAUCAAUUUAAACUUCACCUUAAUUACUUCUUUAGCACCUCUCUAUACAUAUACAUGUCCUGUCUAAAUGAAAUCAUUGCAUAAAAUAUCUCAACAAAAAUCUCUCUCCAAACCUAUAUACCAAUCAUUAUAUCAAGAAGCUAUAAUUCGUUGAGAACUUAGUUAACUGCUUUUAUAGAGAAGGUAACAUUAUACUUGUCCUCGAGCAUCUUAUUGGAUUGAUUAUAAGUUGCAAAAUUAGCCAAAAAAUGUUGAUUUCAAUUGAAUCAUUAGCCAUGGUUGGAGGUGAUUCUAUUAAAGAUGAAAUUAGCAUGGAAGAAUAUGAAGAAAAUGAAGCACUAGUGCCUCCCCAUUUGUUAGUUGAUGAUGAUCAAGAAGAAGAAAAUUUCUUCGCAAUGAAAAAAAAUAUUCAUCAAGAAAAUUAUGAAUAUUAUUCUUUUUGUGAAAAAAGAUGAAGUGGAGCAGAAGAAGACUUCAAUAAUUAGAAAAAAUGUUUUUGGGGAAUUCUUGAAAAAGAAGAAUGUAACAAAUUUUUUGAAAUUCGUAGGAAUAAUCAUUGUAUAAAUGUUGUUGUAACUGUUCUUUUUUGGGAAAAAAAUAAUUCAUUUAUUAUCUAUUUUUGUUUCACAAUUUCAGCAUUAUUUGUUGUAUGUAAUUACAACCUCCUUAUUGUUAAUCACUGUAUGAAAAAUUCAUGUAUAAUUAAUUAGCCCAUCGACUUAUUCAUGUUAGUUGAAGGGAUCCUUAACGAGAGGUAUUGGAUUCAGAUCCUUGAUACAUAAUUUUCUUUGUUACGAAACGCUUUACUCAUAAUAUAUAAUAUGGGACCUUCUUGAUUUUUAUUUAAAUCCCAAAGAGAAUAUUGAAUAUCAAACAUAAGGAAAUAAUUAAAAGUUUCCAAAUAUCAUAUAAUAAUGAACUAAGCCAUAUAAUUAUAUCAUACUACCAUUUAUUGAUUAGGUUUUUCUUAAUAUGAUUGUAGGUUUUUUUUUCUCCCAGAUGAAGCAGCAGGCAUCGAUCUGUAGAACCUAUAAAAAAGAGAAUAGAGAUGUCUAACUCAUAACAGAAUUUUUCAAUUCUAUACAGAUUUCAUUUCCCCUGUCUUUCCUAAACCUUCUAGAACCUUAUUUCUCUUCUCCAUAGCUAAGAUUUCUUAACAUGGUAUCAGAUACAGGUUGUGGUGAUUCCUUAUCUCAGCAUGGAAGAGAAUCUACUGGUGAUUUCCUCUAUCUCACAUCGGUUGCAAUUGCAAUUGCGAUUGCUGUUUCUCAGUAGAUUUCUACUAGUUAAAUCUUUAGCAGUUUUUCUCCAUGGCUACUGAAAGUGAAACUUCUGCAUCUGCUUCACAUGGUCAAUAUUCAGAAGAAAUUCAUCCUAGUCACCCUUUGUACAUUCAUACCUCGGAUACUCAAGGUUCGAUUUUAACCUCUAUUCAACUUCAAGAAUCUGAGAAUUAUGCUCUCUGGAGUCAAUCUAUGUGGAUUGUACUGCUAGGCCAUAAUAAAUUAAGGUUUAUUCUAGGUACUUAUAAGAAAACAUGUAUAAUCCUAGUUUGCAUGAUCUCUGGGAAUGUUGCUAUGCUAUAGUUUUGACUUGGAUGAUGAAUACAAUGUCAAAGGUCUUGAUUAGUACAAUGAUAUAUGGAUCCGAUGCUUAUCAGGUGUGGGAGGAUCUUAGGGAGCGUUUUUACAAGGUGAAUGCUCUAGAGCCUUUUUUUUCACAAGGAAAUUGCAACCCUAACACAGGGCACUGAUUCAGUCUUCGUUUACUUUUCUAAGCUUAGAGAACUUUGGGAUGAAUUUCAGUCUUUAGUUCCUCCUCCUAGCUGCUCAUGUCCUGAAUCUAAGACCUAUAUAGAGCAUUUUCAUCUACAUAAAUUGUGGCAGUUUCUUAUGGGACUAAAUGAGUCAUACAAAUAUGCUAAGAGUCAAGUUUUGAUGACUUAUCCUCUGCCUAAUGUGAAUCAAGCUUAUGUUAUGAUUAUUAACAUUGAGAGUCAAAGGAGGAAGAUAAGUGGUGAUACUAUUGAGUCCACUGCUCUCAUGAAUAAUAGGCAUCCUCAGGGUCUGCUAUGUUUUCUCAGAAUACCAACCAGUAUGCUGGGUAUCAUGGGUAUCAGGUUCCUCAGAAUCACACAAGCUAUGGUUAUAAACCUAGAAUAUCCAGUUUUGACAAUGCUUAUUUAUUUUGUGACUUUAGAAAAUUCAAAUAUCAUACCAAGGAUACCUGCUAUAAACUCCAUGGCUAUCCUACCAAAUUCAAGUUCAAGAAGAGAGGAGGAUCCUUACAAACCUGUGCUAACAGUGUUGUGAAUUCAGGAUUUCUCUCUACUAAUAAGCAGGUGUACUCAUAUUUUCAUCUCCAUUUUCUUCUCCUUAUUCAGGUACUGGAGUCUCUACUCCAUAAGGAUCUGGCAACUUCUUCACCCAGGAGAACUAUGCUCAAAUCAUGCACAUGCUAAAAGGGAAAGAAACUGAAUCUGUUGCUAAUACAGUCAAGCUGAGCACAACAACCAGUUCUUCUGGAGGCACCUCUGAUUCUACUACAACUACAGGUAUAAAUACUGCUUUUUUGUCAAGAAUAGUUGAAGAAAAUUGGGUGGUGAAUACCAAUGUAUCUAAUCAUAUGGUGUAUAAUGUUAAUCUACUUAAGAAUCUUAAAGAGUUGCAUAUGCAAGAUAAAUUUCAUCUACCAAAUGGUGAUCAGGUUGUUAUUAGACAUAGAGCUGAUGCCUCUAUUUUAAACGCUAAGACAUUGCAACAUGUCUUAUACAUUCCAGAUUUCAAAUAUAAUUUGAUGUCUGUGUCAAAAGUUACCAAGGACUUGCAGAACAUCCUUCGUGUAUAAAAUUCUUCAGCGCAUUCCCCGAUGAAUAAAUACAAAUGUCCUCAGGGCAUUCCCCGACUAAAUAAAUACAUUUAUUUUUCAAAUGCGAGAAAAACCGAAUCAUUCAACUACCAUUUCAGCAUACAACAAUCCACAGGUUCUAACUUUUGUCUACCCAACCUAAUAUUUGCCAAUUCAUUCUCGACUUAAGACAUAAUACUAUCGAGUUCGAUACGAUGAACAAUUAUUCCAAAAAAACCAUCAAUGAAUUAAACACAAACCAAGAAUAUUCACUUUUUGUCAAUUUUUAAUCCUUUUCCCAAGUUGAUGAUUAAAUAUUCUAUCCAUUAGCCAAUAAAUUUCACCUAAUUCAACGUGUACGUCAAUUAGAAUAACUAAUUCAACAACAUCAAACCAUAUAUUCAAUCAACCAAUAAACAUCAAUCACCACGUAGUUCACCAACAUAUUUGCAAAAUCAAAAUGAGAUAUUGACCUCAAUCGAGUUUUUAGUAUGCUGAAUUACAGAUCGAAGGAUGGAGAUUCGCCACCGGACCUCGAUCGAAGAACCUCAACUAUGACCCAAUGCGACCCCAAACAAUCUCGCACCACUCGACGUCACAAAAAGAAAAUCUAAACCUAAUUUGAAUAUUUUUUCACUAGAAUCUAGGAUAGAGGAGAACAAUGUUGUUUUUGGCAUUUCCCCGAUAGGUUUGGGGUCGAAACAGUAGCCACGGGUCAAUUCCGGCGAUGAUUUCACCAGAAAAAUAGACCAACGCCCUUUUUCACUCUCCCCGUUCAAACCUAUCCAGUUGUUCUCUCCCUUGUUCACCCUCUCUGAUUUUCUCUAAUAUCUCUCGAUCUCUCCCUCUCACUGUGUUUGUGUUUGUGAUCUUUCCCAAAAUCAGUGAGGAGUGUGUGUGUAUAGUGUGCAGAAGAGGAAAAUGGAUAAUUGUUUUUCUUCCCCCUGUAUGUGCGUGAAUAUAUAUCUAUAUAUGGAAAGAAAAUGGUGCCCCCUCUUGGUUAUUGUGGGCCCUUUUGAAUAUACUCCCAUUUCCUGGAAAGUUCCCUGAGUGCUUAUGUGAGAAAAAAAAUGUGAAUAUGAUGGGGUGAGGGGGUACGGGUAGGUGGGUAUUGGGGUGGUGAUGUGGAUAAAAGUUGUUAAAAGUUUGUUAGAGAGGUGCGUUAAUUAGUUAUCACAAGAAUAUUUGGAUUACGUUGGUUGGGGAUUUAUUAUUUUUGUAUUUUUGUGGGAUAUAAUCAUAUGGGUGAGGGUACGUGGUAAGGAGAGAUUAAAAAUGGUAAAAAUGGUUUCGGAGAGAGACAAAAUUACGUGUCUACAUCAUGCCCCUCUUUGCAUGUAAACACAAAGUGUUUUCAUACAAAGAAGUAAACAACUGGACAGAAUUUUAUCCCGAUCAUCAUUCGACGGAAGAAGGACAAUCGAACCUUGACUUAGGACAUCCUACCUACCCAAAUUAUGAGGAAUUCAAGUCUCAGGUAUCUUAAAGGAUUGGAAGGAGAUGGACAAUACCGAGUUGGAGAGUCGAGUGAGGUACCUUCGAGGCUUCGAUCCGUGGCUCUAUCAUUACAUCAAAAAUAAAAAUUACAAGUUAAAAACAUAAAUGAAAUUACAAAAUCCUAUCUAUACAACUUCACUGGACUCUUCAGGCGGAUUCCUGACUUGCUAUUUUUCAAUCUGUUGACUUUCAAUUUCUUUGCCUUGUUUCUUGACUUUUAAAUUCUUCACCAAGUUGCUUGACUUUUCAUUUAUUCACCCUGUUCUUCAGGCGGGCUCCAAUGUUGCUUGAAUUAUCAAAACAAGGAAGUGUGUCUCCUUUGGAAGUGGUCUUCUUAUGAUACCGCUUGAAUUACCAAAUAAGGAAAUGUGUCUCCUCACAAAUGUCGCUUGAAUUAUCAAAACAAGGAACUGUGUAUCCUAACAAAUGUUCCUUGAAUUACCUAAAUAAGAAAAUACGUCUCCUUACCAAUGCCGCUUGAAUGAAACAAACAAAGAAGUGCGUCUCCUCAUAAAUACCGCUUGAAUUAUCUAAAUAAGGAAAUGUGUCUCCUCACCAAUGUUGCUUGAAUGAAAUAAACAAGGAAGUGCGUCUCCUCAUUAAUGCUGCUUGAAUUAUCUAAAUAAGGAAGUAUGUCUCCUCACCAAUGUUGCUUGAAUGAAACAAACAAGGAAGUGCAUCUCCUCAUAAGUGCCGCUUGAAUUAUUCAAACAAGGAAGUGCGUUUCCUUACAAAUAUUGCUUAAAUUACCCAAAUAAGGAAGUACGUCACCUAACAAAUGUUGCUGGAAUUACCCAAACAAGAAAGUGCGUCUCCUUACCAAUGCCGCUUGAAUUACCAAAUAAGGAAGUGCGUCUCCUUAUAAAUGUUGUUUGAAUUACCAAACAAGGAAGUGCAUCUCCUUACAAAUACCGCUUGAAUUACCAAAUAAGAAGUGUGUCUCCUAACAAAUAUCUCUUGAAUUACUCAAACAAGGAAGUGCGUCUCCUUAUAAAUGUUUCUUGAAUUAACCAAACAAGGAAAUGCAUCUCCUUACAAAUGUUUCAUGAAUUAACCAAACAAGGAAGUGCUUCUCCUUACCAACACCACUUGAAUUAUCAAACAAGGAAGUGCGUCUUCUUACAAAUGUCUCUUGAAUUAUCCAAACAAGGAAGUGUGUCUCCUAGAGUUAUUGGAUGAUGAGUUUUACCAUGGUUUUGAUUACCAAACCUGUGCAACAAUAUUGUCUCCUGUAUUUGUUGAAGUGCGGCAUAGCAACUUUUGAUGUUUAGGCUUUGAAAUCCUUGAUUCGAAGGUAACCUGUGUUCCUAUUUCAUACAAAGAAAACUUGUUAGUUUAAAAAAUAUGGUGGCUAGUUUGUGGCUUUGGCUUUCAUGUAAAUCGCUCUUGCCCCUGUCACAUUUAAUCUUGCUUUCAACCAUUAGCAUGUAUCACUGACUUGUUGCAUCAUUGAUCCGAACUCAGAUUAUUAAGAGUGACUCUGAAACAAACAAGUAUUUCUACUUUGCCAUGCUUCUCAGAUAAACCCUUUGAACCUUGAUAUUUCCAUAAGUUUCCAUACUUGUCUGUUGACAAAACUUUCUGCAUGCCGUAUUUCGGCUCACAAUCAUGUCUCUUUCAUGUAUUGGCCUUUUGUCUUGCUUUGUGCAAUUGAAGAAGCUGGUAGCCAGUUUUAAAAUCUUUUCUCACUUGUUUUGACAUGAACUUGACUCAACGACAAUAGAAAAAUGACAGUGAUUUUUAUUUGAAUAACUGACUCAAGAAAGAUAAAACAAAAAUAAAGAGAAGAAAGAAAAGACAAUGAAUGUUCCCAUUUGAAACAAAGAAACAAAAAUUUAUCUAAAAAUGGCAGCCAACUUUAAUAAUUAUGUCAUGCAUUUUGGAUCAGGCUGCCUGAUCUUUCCAUCCAAACUUUCUACCAAUUGUUUUUGAGUUAAUGGCCUUGAAACUGAGUUGUUUCCUUAGGUUAAUUGCAUUUAAGAUCUCAUUAGGCUAGUGACACCUUGAAGGGUUUUUGCCAACAAGCCUCUCUCAUUUUUCUCUCAACUCACUAUCGCCUUAUGGUGCCCGCGAGGGUUUUUACCAAUAAGACUCUCUCAUUUUUAUUUCUCUCCUAAUUUCUUAUGUUGAGAAAGAAGAGUAGUUCCUAAAAUGUGUCAUCACAUUCAUUGCAUGCUUAGUCUUAACAUUCUCAAAGAUUGAUCUGAAGGUCUUUCUUUGGUUGUAGCUUGUCUUUUGGAUAAGAUUAGAAGAAAAGGAUGACAUGAGGCCCAAACAACACUUGAAGUGGGAUAGGACUUACAACUUUUAGAAUCGACUCAAACAAUGAGGAUUAAAUCAUGCCCCAGUUUCUUUUGACUGGCAAUUCUAAAAUUGUUUAUUUGGUUGGACCAAGCCCUUAGUAGGGCAGCCUACGUAUCUCACCCCCGAGAGAGGAGAAUCAGGUCAUGUGUAGUUCUGGCAGCUUGCUUUGCUUGAUUCUAAUUUCUUUUUCUUCUAUGUUUCUUUUAUUGACUCUUUCUCUUUGGGAAUUUUCUGACUCUAUUUUUCUUGACACUUAUUUUUCUCUUUUUGGACACAUUUUUUCUCUCUCUUUUUUUUGGAAACUUUCUGACUCUAUUCUUUUACUCGACACUUUUCUUUUAAAUUUUGCUGACUCUAUCUUGAUUCCAAAAAAAGGUAUGAAACAAAAUAGGACUAAAUCUCAAAUGGCGUAAACAAAGGAUGAUACAAUGUUUGGAUAACAGAAUAAAAUGUCUUCGUCAUAUCUAUCCUUGAAAAUACUAGUACAUAGUAUGCAAGUGAAAGUGAAAGAUGAAGAUCAUUGUGACAUCUCUUACAACAAUAACUUUGACUGAGUCUGUGCGUCACUACUUCUUCCGCAAACUCCACCUUUGUUUUACAUUCUUCACAUUGAAUGACUCAUGCUUUCGUGGAGUUGAUUUUUUUUCCUUUUGAUGUAGGACCACACAUUCACUAUUUGACCUAAUUGGGAUAUGUCUUUCGAUUGAUGACCAAGUUAUUCUUGUGAUUCUUAAAGUAAAUGUCUUAAUUUUUCAAAGAAGGCUUCAACUUGAUCACCAAACGCCUCAGCACUCUGCCUACUUUCUCAAAUGCUCUCUUUUCCUAACUUUAACUCUCUGAUUCAAUGUUCAUGCUUAAACUGAAUUUUAAGAUCUGGCAGAAAAUUUCGUUAGCAUGUCAUAUCAUUAGAGUCAACAUAAAAUGUAAUGUGGAAAGAAAACAAACAAAAACAUAUUUAAAACACAAAGGAAAAAGGGACACUUCAUUUAAUUAAAAUAAAAGAAAAAAGGGUUUGAACAUAGCGACAAAUGGAUAAAACAAGAUAGAUCCUGAACUACAACCCUGAAAUAAUUCGGAUAAUAGAAAAUAAAAUAAAACAAACUACCAGACCUCUUCCUAGUAGGGAGAGAGGUGACUUUUCAAUUUCUCAACCUGAUAUCUUAGCCACUAGUUUGCAUAUCAGCUUGACUAGAGCUUUCCUCGCUGUCAAUGUGCUGCACCAUAAUCGAUUUAUCUUGAAUCAUCUUUUCUAUUUCUCUUUUCAAGGCACGACAAUCUUCAAUACUGUGACCCUGAACAUUAGAAUGAUAUGCACAUUGUACAUUAGGAUCAAAAUUUCUUAAAUGUGGGUCAGGAGUAUACCCAAGGAGAGCAGUGAUCAUGCCUCGUUGUACCAAUCUCUGAAAUAAACUGGCAUAUGACUCUCCUAUUGGUGUGAAACUAUCCCUCAAAUUCUGUCUCAUUUCAUUAUUUGGCUUAAAUUAAAAACCAGGCCUAGAAGGGCUUCGGUAUGUAUGUAGAGUUGAAGGAUGACUCAACAGUGUUGAUGCACGCCGGUGUGGGUAAGAUAGGGUUUGAACAUAUGGUUGCGCAUUAUACACUUGAUAUGGAAGUGGGGGAAUAGAAUAUAAUGGAUUUUGGGAAAGAUUCUGUAGAGCUUGGGCAUAAACUUAGGUUUGAGCCUGUGGGUAACGAUGGUGUGGUCCUCUUGCCUGUGUCUGUUGUCCAACUACAAUGGCAGAUGCAUCUUCCUCAUUCUUCUUUUCUCCAACACUUCCCAGACCUUUUUGAAUUACUUGAGUAGUCCCUUUCAAUGUUGCAAAACUCAUAAUGCGACCGAUCUUAAUUCCAUCCUCUAUCAUCUCCCCCAUUUUGAGGACCUCAAUAAAUGGCUUACCUAAUGUAGGUAACAAGUGUUGAUAAUAUGUUUCAUCCUGCGCUAGAAUAAAUGCCUCUACUAUCUUACUUUAUUUCAUUGCAGUUUCACCCUAGCAGCUUGUUCACACCAUCUAAUCGCAUACUCUCUGAAAGUUUCAGUACUCUUUUUCUUCCUAUUAGUUAGGGAUUUCUCUUCAAGAAUCAACUCUAUAUUGUAUUGAAAUUGUUGCACAAAUUCAUUAUCCAGGUCGUCCCAGCUAUUCCACUUGUCGAUGUCUUGGUCAACAAAUCAUUCUGAAGCUAGACCUAAAAGACUCUCACCGAAAUAUGUCAUGAGUAAUUCUUCCUUCCCUCCAGCGUCUCUUAGCUGGUUGCAAUAGCGUCUCAAAUGUGCUACAGGAUCGCCAUGUUCAUCAUACUUUUCAACCUUCGACAUUUUAAAACCAAGAGGAAGAUGUAUACUUGGAAACAUGCACAGAUCUUUAUAUGACACUUUUGUACCCCCCAAGUCCUUGCAAGUUUUUCAUAGUCAGUUGCAAACUUCUCAAUUUUCUAGCCAUUCCCUCUUGUUCUUCUAUCAUAACAAGCUUCUCAGUGUUAGGAGAAAAUUCAGGCGGUUGAGUGUAGUCGUAAGGACCAGUCGACUUAAAUGUGGGCUCGGGAGCAUAAUGUUGAUAACUAAAAAUAUUCAAUACAAGGUUUCUUGUAGAGUGAGGAAUCACAACCGUUGGAUUGACAUUAAAAGCAGGAGCUUCAGACGGGAGUGGGGCUGCAAAAGCAUGAAUAGAAGUCAGAGUCGAGCACGUGGUAAUUUUGAUAAAUCAAAUUCAGCAAUCAUUUCAAUUAGACUUAAGAAAAUUUCAUUAUCCUCUUGAUAAAUCUUUUCAUUUUUUCUCCUAAAUGCCAAAUUAUUUUUUUAGAGAGUUUUUAUUACAGCAAUAAUUCUUGAUAAUACAUUUUUCCAGUGUUCUCUAUCCCUAUUGAUUUGAUCUUGAACAUCAUUAUCAAUUGUUUUACUUUUCUUCAACCUUAUUUCCAAGUCACUCCAUGCACUUAUAUUAAUAAUAUGUUCGUUUGAUAUCUCAUGAGCUUUAAGCUUAGCACUAAGAUUUCUCCAAUAUUUACUACUUUCACUUGCUAGUUUACUAUUACUAAUAUUAGAAUUUUUAUUAAACAACUUGCAACAAAAACAAAAUACUUUAUCCAAAUCUCUAGAAUAAAUUAACCAUUUUCUUUCAUGUCUUUCUCCAUUUGCUAAAAUUUGAAAAUAAUGGACAUUAGAAAAAUGUCUUGACAAUUUAUCAUUUGAAAAAUUUAUAUCACUAAUUCUAAUUGGUCUUUUUUUCACUAGUAAGUCUCUCAAUUUUGUAUCGAUAUUGAUCCAUUGACUAGGAUCAUAUAUAUUUUUAUAAAUACAAUUAUUUGAUUCAUUAAGUUCUUCAUUUUCUUGAGGAUCUAUAUUAGAUUUCUCGCUAAUUUUCUCCUCCUCUUUUCGAAUAGUAUUACUCCUAUCAUCAAAUUCAACUGAAUCAAUAACUUGCUCAUCUUGAAAACAUUAUCCUAUAUUUUUUAAUUCUAUUUUUUUAUUAUUUAUUAAAAAUAUAUCUAGAGCUCCUUUUUGAGAUUCUACCAAAAUAUCAAUUCUUUUUUUUAAGUUUUGAAGCAUCAAAUUCAUAUUUUCUAGUUAACAUAUUAAAAUUUUAAUAAAUAGUAAAUGUGUAGUUUAUAUCUACUAAUCCAGACAAUUAAAAAAAAUCAAUAAAUAACAAAUAUGUCUACCAAAUAUCAAUAUGUGCAUGCACAAUUAUUUAACAGAAUACUACUACUACUACUACUACUACUACUACUAAUAAUAAUAAUAAUAAUAAUAAUAAUAAAACUAAAAUAAUAGAACUUGACAGGGGAAGAUGUAGAGUAUAAGUUGCGGGUUCCUGGGAACCAGUAACUUUCGUACGGUUCUUGAAUUUAUAUUGAAAAAACUAGUAAAUAUAUAAGAAUUAUAAGUUGGGAAUCCACAAACAUAGUGUGUUAUUUGGUCUAGUGGUAAAAAUUGUAAAUUAGGAACCCACAACCUUUAAAUUCUAGAUCCGCCUCUAGAACCUGAUCUAAUAACGAUCUGAAAACAAUAACUCUAAUCUUUAUAAACUAUCAGCAAUCUUGAUAUUCAAGAAAAAAUUGAAUCAAUAAUAAUAUUAUGAAAAGAAAUUUCUUGAACAAUUGAAGUUUUGAUAGUAUAAGAAUUUAAAGAAAAUAAAAAAUGAAGGUAAAUAAAGAGGAAAAAAUAUGUACGUUAUUUACAUCUUCCAAUAAAAGGAAAAUGAAAGGUCUAAUUUAAAAGAUAAAAAAAGAAAGUACUAAAUUUUUACCUUUUUAAAGGCUAGGCAAAUCAAUUUCUUCAUAAAUGUAUUUGCCUUUUCAAAGUUGUACUACCAUUUAUUUUAAAAGAAAAAAAAACAUCUCAAGGCAGAUCAAUAUUUUGCCUUUGGCAGUAAUUGAUUUGACAAGUGGGCCAUUUAUUCUUUCAAACUUUUUGUCAACAAUUGACAGCAUACAUAAAUAAAUACAUAUACAUUUUUUUUUAAAUGAUGUAAAGUGGGGCCCCCAAAAUUGGGGGCCUAAAGCAUGGGCUUGGGCUGCUUGACCCAAAGGUCGGGCCUGCUCUUUUGAAGCUAUCAGAAGAUCUACUAGACAUAUCAGACCUCCUGCUUGGAUGGCAGAUUAUGUAGUGCCUGCUAAGACUAGCUUGUGUGCUUAUCCCUUAGCAAAUUAUGUCUCUUAUGAGAAGGUAACUCCUUAUUAUGGAGAUGCUUUGAAUGCUUUCUCAUUGUUGAACCAUCUACUUUUGCUGAAGCAAGCACAGAUCCUUUAUGGAUAGCUGCUAUAUAUCAAGAACUAACUACCUUAGAAGAAAACAAGACUUGGUCAUUGGUUACUUUACCCCCUGAUAAGAAGCCUAUUGGAUGCAAAUGGGCAUUUAAAGUAAAGUAUAGAGCUUUCGGAGAGGUUGACAGGUAUAAGGCCAGGCUGGUUACAAAGGGAUACAGUUAACAAGAAGGCCUAAACUACUCUAAAACCUUCUCACAGUCGCUAAAUAGUGACUGUUAGAACUGUGGUGGCUUUAGCUAUUUUUUCUUCCUGGUACAUCUUUCAAAUGGAUGUUCAUAAUGCAUUUUUACAAGGAGAUUUGGAUGAAGAUGUCUGCAUGACUAUUCCUGAGGGCUUUACUAGCCAGGAGGAGAAUCAGCAGCUUGUGUGCAAAUUAUACAAGUCUCUCUAUGGCCAGAAGCAAGCUCCCAGGCAGUGGAACCUCAGGUUGACACAGGCACUUCUUUACAUAGGAUUUGUUCAGUCUCAUUAUGAUUAUUCUCUAUUCACUCAAACCAAGGAUGGUGCACUUCUCGUUGUGUUAGUAUAUUUGGAUGAUUUACUUGUUACCGGAAGAAACUUAAGCCUUGUUCAAGACACAAGAAAAAAGUUACAAGAAAGGUUUAGAAUGAAGGACUUGGGGGAAUUGAAAUUCUUUCUGGGCAUAGAGUUCUCCGGGUCUGAAAAAGGUAUGUAUUAUGUCAAAGAAAAUAUGCUUUUGAAUUGAUAUCAGAAGCAGGGUUAACAGGAUGCAAACCUAGUGUAUACACCACUGGAGUUUAAUCACAAACUCACCUCAGUAGAAUAUGACAACUUUGUCAAGACUGAUCAAAUUUUUUAUGAUGUCCUACUUCGAGAUAAAGGAUACUACUAGAGAAUUGUGGGAAGGUUGUUGUAUUUGACCAUGACAAGGUCUGAUUUGGCCUUUGUGGUGCAAGUAUUAAGUCAGUAUAUACAUGCUCCAAAAAUGUCUCAUUUAAAGGAAGCUAUGAGAGUGAUCAAAUAUAUCAAGGGUACUAUAGGUCUAGGAUUGUUUAAGCCAGCUGAAGACAAGAAGGAAUUGAUUGCAUUUUGUGACUCUGAUUGGGCUUCUUGUGUGGAGACUAGGAAGUCAGUUACUGGCUAUGUGGUGAAACUUGGUGAUGUAUUGAUCUCUUGGAAAUCGAAGAAGCAACAAAAAGUAUCAAGAAGCUCAACUGAAGCUAAGUUCAGAAGCAUGGCCUCUACUAUUGCUAAAAUUACUUGGUUAACGGGUUUACUUAAGGAACUUGGAAUAAAAAUGAAGCUACCUAUCACAUUGUUUGUGAUAGUAAGGCUGCUAUACAGAUUGCAGCACACCCUAUAUUUCAUGAAAGAACAAAAUAUUUUGACAUAGAUUGUCAUUUUGUUAGAGAAAAAAUUCAAGAAGGAAUGAUUCAAACACAUCACAUUGGUACAAAGCAGCAGGUGGUAGAUGUUCUUACAAAAGCUUUGGGCAGACCUCAACAUGAAUAUCUUGUUAGCUAGCAUGAGAUGAAAAAUUUGUUUUCCUCGAUCAGCUUGAGGGAGAGUGUAGAAGAUAGUGGAGUGAGUAGUGAAGUUAGUAGCUGUAAAGUUAGUUAUGAGCCAGCUGUAUAUUAGCUGUAACUUAAUUUGUUAGUUAGCCAGUGGAGCAUGCAAAGAUUUGGUUAGCUUGUGUAUAUAUAGAGAUGUCUAGCACAUAACAGAAUGAACGAAAUUUUUCAAUUCUAUACAGAUUUCAUUUCCCGUCUUUUCUAACCCCUCUUGAACCUUCUUUCUCUUCUCCAUAGCUGAGGUUUCUUAACAGUAUUUUGUAUAUUAAAUUUAUAUAUAUUCAACGAUCUUAAUAGCUUUAAAAAGAAUUUAACCGCAACGGCCACUAAAUUCUUCUAACGGACUAUAAAUUUAGCAUUUUAAUAAAUAAAUGUAUUGUCAAGAAGUAACUGGUAAAGUUGUUGUUAUAUGAUUAGAAAGUCGGAUUCAAGUUGUGGAAAUGGCCUUUUGCAGAAAUGCAAGGUAAAACUGCAUAUAAUAAUCUUUUGUGGUCGAAGCUUUCUUCGAAUCUCACUCAUAACGAAAACUUUACUGCACCGUUAAUUGAUCGGAGGGAUAAAGAUUCUUAACCGUAUUUUAGACAUUCUCACACGUGCAAUUUUCAUUAAUUAGUUGUUUUGACUUUCAUUGCAUGCAGUUGAAUAUGCUAAGAAGUUUCCUAAGAUUUAUCAAAACUUCCAAAUGUGAAUCUACAGAACAUGUAUACGCAUGUGUUAUAUCGUACAUGUAUCUUCUUUUGAAAAUUCCAUGAAACCAACCAUCUCUAUUCUUUAAGUGUGCAUUGGAUAAAUCUUUUCAUAUAUAAUAGCUCGUAAAUCAUAUAAAAAAAAUUGAACCGUGCUAGAUAAGUCAGGUACGAUGAGCUCUACUAAGAAGGCAAUGGACGAGGUGGGAACGAGAUCCUCUCACGUCCAUUUGGAUACCACACCCGUUGCACCAACUCAAUCGACUGAGUCGAUGAGAAAUUAGGACCAUCUUACAUGUAUGAUUCCUAUUAAUUCAUGAUAUUUUAGACCCCAAUUUGACGUAUAAUUCUCGUGAUUCCUUGUUGUACAAUCUCGAGUACAACUCUUAAGAUAUUUCCAUUUUUGGUAAAUAGUACUUGUUCAAAUAUUACCAUAAGACAUGAUGUAAGGUCGUGAAUUUAUGAUUUAAAUUUUAUGAGUUCUUUCGGGAUUCAUUUAACUUACUAAAUUUGAAGUUACUUAUUUGUAUUUAUUCAUUCUUAAGUAGUAUUCCCUCUAUUCAAUUUAAAUGUCUUAGUUUCACCGGUAUGCAGUUUAAAAAAAUAAAGGAAUACUAUUAAAUCUUAAAUUAUAGUUCUAAACUUGUCAUAUGUAAGAUGUUGGAAUUGUAAAACUUAGUACUCCCUCCAUUCCUUCUUAUAAUUAAGCUUCCUUUUCUUUUUUUACAGUCAAAUAAUGAUACAAAAUUUAACCAGCAUUUUAAGAUGUAUUUUUUAACCAAAUUGAAAAAAAGGAAAGUUGCAAUUCAUAAUACUUUUCAUACAGUUUUUGAAUAUCUAAUUUUAAUUUUAAAAAUUACAUUAAUCUAAUCCAAUUUAACUUUGAAACUUAGUCAAAUUGAUUCACGAAAAAUGAAAAGAGCAUUUAAAAAGGAAUGAAGAGAGUACUAAAAAUAGAAUGUAAUGCUAUUUUUAGGACGACACAUUAAAAGAAAAGUAAGACACUUAAUUGAGAUGGCGUAAAUAGAACACGAUGCUCUUUUUAGGACGACACAUAUAGGGUUUCGGUAUGUGAAUCCAUAACUUACAAUCUACAUUCACCUAUAUAUAUAUAUAUAUAUAUAUAUUAUAUACAAAUUUUAAAAAAAAACAGUAGAAUGUGAAUUCUCUUUAGAAUUAAUGUAAUUUUGUUUUAAGCCUCGUGAUAAGUUUCAAAAUACUUGACUAGAAAAUUUCCAUUGAACUCAUGAGUAUCAAUACGAAAAAAAAAACGUAGUGGAAAACAAAUUCAGUCAAUAUAAAAGUACCCCUUGUACUUCAAAGUUAAAAUAUAAGAUAUUCCUAUUAAGAUCAACAACUAGCAUAAUUGAUCAGUAAAAAUUACAACACAUCCAAUUGAAUCUCACAAGUGAAGUAUAAAAAGAGUAAGUAAUUAGAAUGUGCGCAUGCAUGCAAAUCUUGUUAUCCUUAUCUUUGUGAAUAUAGACCAUUUCAGAUAGAGUUUCGACUCAUUAAAAAAGUAUCUAAGGCAGAAUGGCAAUAAAAAUUAAGAUAACUACAUAACAAGAUUAUUAUUAGUGAAAAGAUGAAAAAAACAUGAAAAAAAGAAAAAAAGAAGAAGAAGAAAAUACUUUUUAUUCAAACUGUUCUUUAAACAUGAAAACAAACAAAUUCAAACCUUAUUUUAAUUUCUUCACAAGUAUAUUACCUUUUUGGCUUUGAAACUUUGUCUAUAUUGUCAAAAAAGUUAAUUUUCAACAGUCAAUUCAACAUUCUAGUUACGGAGUAUAUAUGAAUUUAAACUUCACCUUACUUCUUCAUCACCUCUCUCUCUCUUUAUAUAUAUAUCAUGACUAAUAAAUGAAAUCAUUGCAUAAAAUAUCUCAACAAAAAUCUCUCUCCCAAUCAUCAUAUCAAGAAGCUAAUUCGUUCAAAACUUAGUUUAUUGCUUUUAUUAGAUUGAUUAGUUGAAAAAUUAGCCAAAAAAUGUCGAUUGAAGCAUUAGCCAUGAUUGGAGGUGAUUAUAUUAAAGAUGGAAUUAGCAUGGAAGAAUAUGAAGAACAUGAAGCACAAAUCCCUCCCCAUUUAUUAGUUGAUAAUCAAGAAGAAGAAGAUUCCUUCUCAAUGAAGAAAAAUAUUCAUCAAGAAAAUAUUCCUACAAAAGAAAAUUAUGAAUAUUAUUCGUUUUGUGAAAAAGAUGGAAGUGGAGCACAAGAAGACUUUAAUAAUUAGAAAAAAAUGUUUUUAGGGAAUUCUUGAAAAAGAAGAAUGUAGCAAAUUUUUUGAGAUUAGUAGGAAUAGUCAUUGUAUAAGGUUGUUGUAAGUUGUAACUGCUGUUUUUAGGGGGGGAAAUAAUAAUUCAUUAAUUUACUAUUUAUUUUUUCUAUUCAGUAUCCCUAAACAAUGGUCAAAGUUGCUACGAUACACUUUACAGAGGGCUUAUUUUCCUCUUACUCAAUUUUAGUGUAUUUUGAUCACAUUUUGUGCUGACGUGACAUCUUUAUUACAUAAAAUGAGGUCCACGUCAAAGGUGCCACAUCAAUAAAAAAAUUGGACAAAAGAUGCCGCAUCAACUAAAAAUGAUGACAAAAAUACGCUAAAAUUUAGUUUGAGAGGGUAAUAGAACCCCCGUAAAGUUGGAGUGUGUCAUAAUAAAUUUGUUCAUAAUUCAAGGGAUACUACAUUAUUUUUGACUCUUUGUAUCACAAUUCCAGCAUUAUUUGUUAUAUGUAAAUUACAACCACCUUAUUGUUAAUCAUUGUAUGAAAAAUUCAUGUAUAAUUAAUUAGUCCAUCAACCAAUUCAUGUUAGUUGAUGGGAUCCUUAACGAGAGGUUUUGGAUUCAGAUCUUAGAUACAUAAUUUUCACUGUAGAGAACAUUUUAUCCCUAAUAUAAUAUGAGACUUUCUAGAUUUUUAGUCAAAUACCAAUAAGAUUAUUGGAUAUCAAACGUAAGGAAACUAUACCUAUAAACAUAUCCAUAGCACCCUUUAUUGCAUGCAUGAUCUUGAAUAAUGAAAAAGAAAGAGUGACUUAAAUUAAACUAUAUCUAUUAUUAAUUUAAAAUUAUGUGACGUAAAAGGAUUAAGAUCAUGAAUUCAUAAGUUUUAAAUCUUGACUUCGAAUAAUUCUUGUACGUGCAAUUUUUCAUUCAAUACUAAUCUUUAGUUACUUAUACUUCUAAGUUCUAAUUAAUUUUUUUUUUCACUUUUAACUUUGAUUAAUCAAUACAAAUGUAUUAGAAUAUGCUGAGGAGUUUCCUAAGAGUUGCCAAAACUUCCAUAUUUGAAUAUGCAAAACAUGUGUAUUAUACAUUUGUGUUCAUUGUACUUAUAUAUCAUUCCUAUUAAUUCAACGUUUUUUCCAACCCUCAUAUAACCUAUGAUUCUCGUGAUUCCUGUCCUACAAUCUCGAGGACAAUACCUUCUAAGUCGAGUUCGUCACACCGAAUUUAGCUAAUACGAGAGUUGCAAGAUUAUUCAGUAUAUAUCCGAAGGAUAGCAAUUGCGGAUUUCACAGAAUUUCCAAAAAAAAAAAAUCUUGAUGAGACAAUUAUAGGAUACUUCCUUUUUUGGGUUGGGACUCAUUUAAAUAUGCUUAAAUAGCAUAAAUAUACACCUAAACUUAUCAUAUAUAAACAAAUCUUCACCCCUACAAAAUAAUUACGAUAAUUUCAACUAAUUAUGUAUCUUCAUUGGAUGUAUCGGGGAGCUAAUUAUGUAUCUCGACAUAUCCAAACUCGAAAAGUGUAUCUGGAGCUAAUUAUGUAAGAAAAGAACGUAUUAUGUAUCGCGAUAGACCCAAAAUCGAAAAAAAUAUAUCGGGAGCUAAUUAUGUAUCUUUACGAAGGAAAAAAUGAGUCUUCGUUGGAUGUAUCGGAAGCUAAUUAUGUAUCUCGACAGACCCAAAAUCGAGAUUUUCAGUAAUUGUGCAAAAUAUCAAAAUUUUCUGUAAUUAAGCUCAAACUAUUGAAAUUUAUGUUGUUUGCCCUUUAAAUAUUAAUCAACUCUCUCUACCGUAAGUAACUAUAUGAGCUCGACUAUCCAGAAUUUGAAAUUUAUGAACUAUUUCGAGAUUCAAUCACAACUUAUUUGAUUUAUGACUUUAUGUUGAUGUACAUUGUACAUGAGACUCUUGAAAAAAAAAAAUUAUAUAUGUGCCGUUGCCACAAGGAUAACUUUGUUAUAAAAUUUAUCAUCAAUCACAAGAAAUUUUAGAAUUCUUAUUAAAAACGUUUUUUCUUCUCAUCACACAUGAAUUACUACCUUUUUAGGUUUGAGAUUUUUCAAAAAAGAAAAUUGUCAAAAGGUUAAUUUUUCAAGAGUCAAAAUUCAACAUUAUAAUAAGUACUAUUACAACUUAUAUUAACCUAAGGUCCUUGAGAUGUAUCUAUUUGGACGAUUCACCCUACCAUAAUUGACAAUGACAGAUUUAGUAUCAUCAGAAUAUAAGAUUUCUCCUCUUGACAUUAAUUCGCAUCGUUACAUAUCAGAAUUAGUAAAUCCUUCGCUUUACGUCCCAAAAUUUGGAGGAUUCAAAAUUUUUAAUAGUAAACUUUAUAAUUUCAACUUCACUUAGAAUAAUAAUGAAGAUUGUAAAUACAUUUUAAAAAAAUAUCUAAAUAAUAAUAAAGAUAAAAAGUCAUCACAUUUUUACAAGAAAUAUUUUAAUUAGAACUUUGAACUAAACAACUCAAACUUUAUAUUAAUAAAUAAAGUUUUAACAACAACAUCCAAAUUAAUGCAUCGCAAACAAAUGACUAAUAUCUUAUUAGCAAAAAUCAAUCCUUACUUUUAUUAAUAAUCAUAUUAAUAAUGUGAAGUAAGGUUAAGUGUUAUCAAAAUAAUAAUAAGACAAUUCUAAAUUAUUAUAAUAGUAUUUUUGUAUGUAUAUUUAUAUCUGUAACACCUCUUAUUAAAAUUUGACUUUACACCAUUAAUUUUAUUGAGAUGUCCCUGAGGAAAGUAAAGCAAGAAUGAGAGAGGAGUGGGUCAUGGAGGAUUGUAGAAGAUUGAGAGCACGAAGAACUUCAGACAACAAAUUUAAUGGUUAUGCAUAAUAUGCUGUAUGAAAUUCUCUCGCAUGUUGCCAUGUUUCUUGAAUUGUAUUUUUUUUUUUAAUUAUUAGUACGUGCAAUGCCAAUCAGCAUUAUUUCUUGAAGAAGGAAUGUCAUGUUGUUGUUGUAUAGGAUUCUUGAAUAUCUUUUUUUUAAUGAUGCAGAAUUUGAUUGAUUAUUAAACAGAAAAUUUAAAUAUUCAAAAAUUACAGAUAAUUAUUGUGUUAAAAUUUGCACUAUAAAUAUCUUAUUAGUUUAAUUAUUGUAUUCUUGAAAAUAAUGGGAUGUAUUAGUUGAAUUAUUGUAUUCUUGAAAAUAAUGGGAUGUAUAUAAAGUGUGUUUGGUAUGAAGAAAAAAAUGUUUUGCACGAAAAAUAUUUUUCUAGAAAAUGUUUUUCUUAAAAAUAAGUUGGUUUUUUAUUCUUUUAUGAUUGAUUGGUGGAUUGAAAAUAUUUUUUGGAAAAUGUUUUUCGGUGUUUGGUUAGUGAAUGAAAAAAUAUUUUUCAGAAAAUACAUUUUAGUGUUUAGCUGAAGAGUAAAAUAUAUUUAAAAAAAUAAUUUUUGACCCUGAAAAAUACUUUUUUUAAGGGUGUGUUCGAUAUGAAGGAGGAAAAACGUUUUCUAGAAAUAUAAGUUGCUUCUUUCGUAUAUUUUUGUGUUCGUUAUACAAAUUGGAUAAAUAUAUUUUCUAAAAGUAUUUGUUUAUAUUUAACAACAACAAUGAGAAUGAAUAGGAUAAGAAGGGUGGGAUAAGAAAAAAUUUUGAGUUUUUUUUAAAUAAAAAAUGUAGAUUAAAAUUUUAUUUUAUUUUUUUGGGGUGGGUGGUGGGGAUUGAGGUUGUCAAAAUAGGUAAUAAGAGUGGGGUAAGAAAAACAAUUUAAUUUUUUUAAAUAAAUAUUUGUUGGGAGAGAAGGGGGGAGGGGGUUAGUAGGGGGUGGGGGUCGUGUGAUAUGGGCACGACCACGUACAUGGAUGAGUGCGAGAGUGAAUUGACCCAAGACUUGAAAUGUGCAAGUGAAGUGCAAAGGAGGGCCCAAUUACACACCAAAACUGUCCAUACAUAUUCUAAGGGCACCUUUGUUAUUCAUUCUUUAUUCAGGGGUCCUUUUUGUCAUUUUACAUUUUAUUUGUAACCUACUAUAUAUAGAACAUUUUAGGUCAUUUACUAGCUAGUUGUUUGAUGAUAUUUGUAAGUCUUGUAUGACUUUGACACACCAAGUCCUCUCCCUUUUGAGGCAAACCCGAAAUUAGGUUUCAACCAAGUGUGAAAUCAAUUGUAUUGUUUGAUCAUGGCUUGAAACAUUGGGUGCUUGAAGGAUUGAGGUUCCUCGUGUGUCUACCGAAGAGUGUAGGUGUUCAUAUACAUGUUGUAAGGGUCCUUAGAUUUGAUACAUCUUUGGGUUCUUAGUGUAUAUAAUAUUGUAUGUCACACUAUCUAUCCUUUCCUUUGUUAUAAUCGUGUAUCCAUUUGUAUUCUUGUUAAUGUAAGCCGUGUGUUGUUGUUCUUCAGGUUGUUAUUGUUCAUCUCAUCUUUAUAUUGUGUUGUUAAUCUUAGUUUGGGUGGCUGAUUUGGUGUCAAAUACACCUUUAUUAUUUCGUUUCUUGGUGUUAUUGUUGAAUCCGAGAAUAUAAUGGUCUCUAUUUGGUCCUCGGAUCCUUGUAGUUUGUAAACUGAUUUGAAGUGUCUUUUCGUAUCUUCCUUGUUUGUAUCGUAUCAUCGGGGUAGGGGAGUAAGAAUGGGGUACGAAAAAAAUUAGUUUUUUGGAAAGAGAGGGGGAGGGAGGAGGUUGGUAGAGGUGGGGUUGGAUAGUGGAGGGAAAGAAAAACGUUUGAAUUUUUUUAAAAAUAUAAAUAUUUUUUUAAGGAAGUAGAGGUUUGAGUUUUUGAUUAGGGGAUAAGGUAAGAAAAAUUUUUUGAAAUAGUAUUUUUGAAUGAGGAGUGGUUGGGGGUGGGGGUGGGGGUAGGGAGUGAGGGUGGGGUAAAGAAAAAUUAAAAUUUUUCAAAAAUAAAUUUGGGAAGCAGGGGUUUGAGUUUUGGGUAGGGGGAUGAGGUAAGAAAAAAAUUUGAAAUAUUUUUUUUGGAUGAGGGUGGGGAUAGGGGAUUGGGGGUCGAAGUAGGGAUGGAUAAUUUUAAGAGUCGUAUGAAUAUUUCAACUUAAGAGUAAAAUUUAAAGAGAGUUUUGGAAAGUAUUUUCCUUAUCUUUUGAAGGAAAGUUAUUUUCCUAAAAUUUGAGGAAAAUAAAUUGAUUUGAAAAAUAUUUUUCAAAACCUUUAAUUCAAUCAAACAUGAGAAGAUUGAAAACCAAACACAUCGAUAAUGUCAUGUUGUUGUUGUUCUAUAGGAUUCUUGAACAUAUCUCUCUAACCUCAAAAAAAUUACAAGGGCAAGUAAUCAUAAUUACGGAAAGCCUAAAAAGUCUACUAACUGUUCUACUUCAUCUAUACCCUUUUCUUUACACAAAAAAUAUAAAGUGGUAAUUAUGUAAUUUUCUUUAACUUUUUAUAUUGAGUUGGUAGUAUUCUCAAAAAAUCUGUUGUUUCUUUCCUUCCAAAUGGACCACCAAAUGCAUGAAGGGUUAUUCUCAACCAUUGUACCUAAGUCUUGCUCCCCUCUUUCCUCAUCCAACAGCUUGAAAGAUCUGCAGUAUGCUCUGGCAUCACCCAUGAUCCUUGUAUAAGGUUGAGGAACAUGUGACACACCUGGACAGUGACUCUACAAUAAAGGAAUAAAUGGUUGUUUGUUUCCUCCUUUUCAUUACAGAAAAAAAUACCUAGAGACAAUCUGAAAACUCCUCCGUUUCAGCUUCUCUUGAGUUAGAAAUGAUCUUCUACACACCAACCAUGUGAAACACUUCACCUUGGGUGGGAUAUUGCACUUCCAGACUUAUUUUCAAGGUUCGAAAAAGCUCCCAGAUUAUAUCAUAAGGUCUCUUUUGUAGAGUCUUUCUACAAAAAACAUCCUAUCCCUUUCAUGCCUCCAUCUUAUAGUAUCAAACUCAACCUUUAGGUCAGAGAAAUCAUUCAAUCUCUGUUGUAAUUCAGAAACUCUCUCCACCUCCCAGUCAUUCAGAAGCCUCCUAAAAGUGAUGUUCCACCCUUGAGGAGACCAAGUCUCAACAAUAGAUGCUCCCGAAUUACCACAAAAAAGAGAAAAGAUCUGGAAAGGCUUCCAUAAAAGAAUCUUGGCCAAUCCAUUUGUCUUUCCAGAAGAGAAUCAUAUUACCCUUUCCAUUUUUUUUUCUUUCUUCCCCACCCUGUCUCCCCUACCCCCAAAACUAUACACCCUCCAAUUUUUCUUUCUUUCUUCUUCUUUGUCAUCCCCCACCCCGUUUGCACCACCUUACUACACUAUUCUUUUUCUUCAGCCCCCACCCCCACCGUACCCAAAAGAAAAAAUAAAUCUAUCUUCCUUCUUCGAAAUUUACUUCUCCUUCGUUUGAGAUUUACUUUUUUUUUUUAUUUUUUUUACAAAUUAUUUUUUCAAUUCAAAAUUUUCAUGUUUUUUUAGGAUUAAAAUUUGAACUUGAAUUGAAAGUGAAUAUAGCGGAUAUUGAAAAAUAAUGAACUCCAUGGAUAAGCUUGAAAAAGCUUGAAGUUCAACUUUGAAGAACAAUGAAUGAGUUUUUGUGGAUUUGUCAAAGAUAUUCAAAAUUGAAAAUAAAAAAUUUAUUGUGUUUGUGCAUUUGAAUUAGUAGUUAAAAAUUUGACUUAAUUGCAGAGGAAAUUUCCACUACUUGAAAUAAAUUUGAUGCUCAAUUUGUGAACAAACAUCAAGAACACGAUUAUUAAAAUUUGUAGAAUUUGUUUAUUUAACUAAAUUUAUUUUAAUAUUUAAUUUCUUAUGUGGCAUUUAAAAAUGGCGUGAAAUUUAGCGCAACAUUUAAAAAUGACUUGAAAAUUGAUGUGGAGGCGGUUGUAUUACACACACCGAAAUAAGAUUUAAAAUGUUGAUUUAUAUUGAGUUGUGGGGUUCAGAUGACAAAAAACUAAUUAAAGAUGUUUACUUUACACACACGAAUAAGUACAAGGGUCCACUAGAUCAUUUCACCUCAUAAAAUUAACCAUUUCCUCUUAAUUAUUCUAAUCUUAUGCUAAAUUAGUAAUGUUAUUUCAUGUUCGAUGAUAAUAUAGUUCUAUAAAUAGUCCAAUAUCACAUAUCUUUCAUAUAUAAGGAAAAACACAAUUUAAUUAGUUGAAAAUUAAACAUGUUAAGUGCCGACAUGGUUUAGUUGUCAUUUGAUUCAAUGUCGCUAUAGGCUUUAGGGUCAUUAACAAAUAGUGCUAAAAUAUAAUUAUCACUAGUAAUUAUUUUUAAAAAGACAUGUUUAGCAGCAAUUAAGCUAAUCUCGUUAAUUAAUUGCCACAAAAUAUCAUUUGUUGUGUAGUGUAUAAUUAAUUUGAUUAUAUUUAAGUUCAAAAUUCAAUUUCAUUCGGCUGGCUAGUAUAUUUAAUAAAUUGAGCUACAAAUAAUGAGGUCACGUUUGCUAGCUCAAAAUGUCAUGUUAUACUACAAGUCCAAAUAAUUGACAUCUGUCAAAUGAUGUGGCAUGUAAUGUUGUAUAGUCUGAACAUGUGAAGAGAAAGUGUACGUACACAUGCGCCAGUAAGGCUUUGUGAGACGGCGGGUGUAGCAGGAAUUAGGAAAGGUAGAAGUAGACCAAAAAGUACUGGUAAAAGAUGAUUAAACAGGACAUAACACACAAUUUAAUUCAACUUACUGUGGAUCCAUGACGACCAGAGAUAUGAAGGUAUGGAGACGAUUAGGGAUUAGGGUAGAACAGUUAAUAGGUAGUUGAAUGUUGUCAUACUUUAUAUGGGAGCACGUGAUAGGGGACUCGCCUCCUCUUAUCCUUAUUAGUGGUAUUAUUUGGUAAUCGUGCAUAUAGACUUAUUUUUCAAUGCUAUUUGUAACAUGUUUUCUAUCGAAUGAGGUUCAAAUGAACCCCUUCGAUGCCACUCCCUAUUCUACAAAGGUAAGGACAAAAUCUAUGUAUAUUAUACCAUCUUUUAUAAUCUAUUUAAUUUGUGAAAUUACACUAGAUUUAUUGCCAUUAUUAUAUAUAUUUUGUUGCAAUUUUGAAGUCAUUGAGUAUGUAAUAGAUUGACGUUAAAAUCCAUUACGUAUUCAGUAUAGCGUGAAUGUUUUUAUUUUUUAGUAUUAAUGCAUUCAUAUUUAAUUUUACCUCGUGAGUUUCAGAAGAAAUAAUGAAUACUACCAUGACUAAAUAUUUGUUGAAUUAAAGUAUCAGUAGAAAAAAAAAACGAGGAAAAUAAAUUCAGUCAACACAAAAAUACUUGUAUAAAACACUAUUAAAAUAUUUCGAUAAUCAAUAAAUUAAACUUUAAUUAAUAUUUUAAGAUAUAUUUGAUAAAAAUGAUUUAGUCAAGUUGUAGAAACACCUCUAGCAGAAAUACAAAGUAAUGCAUACAAUAGAUUCUUGUGUUCGGCCUUGUUUUGAUCACGAACUUAGCAGAAGCUUUAAUGGGGACGAUUAGUGUAAUUGAUAAUUGUAUUGACUAGUGAAUGUAUGAAACAAUAUAACAUUACAAAAAUAAUAAUUUGAAAGAUAUUGUUUAUGCCAUUUGCCAACUUGGAUAUUUACUAUGAGAUCGAUAAUUAUGAAUUGCAACUAGGAUACUUAUCAUCACAUGAAUUACUACUUUUUUGUGGCUUUGGAACAUUCGAAAAAAAAAAUUGUCAAAAAGGAUAAUUUCAAUAGUCAAUUCAACAUUCUAAGUAUAUUAUUUCAAUUUUUCGCGCUCUAUUUUAAUUUAUGUGACAUUUUUAUCUUUUUAAUUAGCCUAAAAAAUUUCCUUGGCAGAAUACAUUGUCAGACCCCUCAACUUGACACCAUCUUUCACUUUGGCACCUUAAAUAAAUGUUGUUCACUUUUGGUACCUCAAGUAGUGUAUAAGUGUGUCAUUUUGGCACCUUUUGUUGAGUUGCCAAGGUGUGUGUAUUACACUUCCAUAAAGGUACGUUAAAGCCUUUUUUUGGGUGAUGUGGUGCCCAAAUUGGUCCACCAAUAAUAUAUUAACUCACCUUUAUUAAAUUGUACUUUUUUCUUUAUUUUUAUCCAUUAUUUUUGUCAAUCUUAAACUUAUUUAAUGGUGAAAAUUAUUGGGAGAGAUUUAAAUAUUACAUACACAUUUACGAGUUCGUUUUGCCAAAAAAUAAUAUAUUAAUUUACUCCAUUAAUUUAUACUUCUUCCACAUUUUCAUCUACUAUUUUUGUCGAUCUUUAAUUUAUUUAACGUAAAAAUCGUUGAGAGAAAUUUAUAUACGCAUUUAAGAAUUUGUGAAGAUUAGAUAAUAAACAUCAUUUUUUAAAUCAUUAAGGGCAAAAUUGAUGACGAAAAACUGAAAAUCAAGCAACAUUAAUGAAGACAAGCUGAAAAUAAAAAAAAAUUGAUGAAGAAAAAUCGAAAAAUAAAGCUAAAUCCAUGAAGAAAAAUUGAAAUCAAACAAAAUCAAUAAAAAAAAACUAAAAAUCGAUGAAGCAAAUCUGAAAAAUGAAGUUAAAUUCACAUAGAAAAUCUAAAAACCAGGAAAAUUCAGUGAAGAAAAAUUAAAAAUCGGAGCAAAAAUGAUGAAAAAAAUUAGAAAAUAAAGCAGGUUCUCUGUUCGACUUCCCUCGUCCAACUAAUUGUUCCCACAAUGCAAAACCAUAUGAUGCAUCAUUUUUAACUGAUUAAAAGGAUUAUUGAAGAUUCAAAGCUUCAUGUUGAGUUGUUUUAGCUUUUCAAACAUAUCACUCAUGAGCCAACUAAACAAGCAACUGGGUUACAUUUAAGAAUCCAAUAUUCAACAAAUAACAGAGAAACCAAAGACAUAUAUAAACAUAUAGAAAUUUGGUUAGCUUUAUCCAAUCUUAUACAGUAAAAUGGUUGUUAUUGUUGUUCAUAGUGAAGCUUAUUUGGUGGGUGGGAGGGGGGGAUACAGGAGGUGGAGAGGGGGUGCAGGGUCUUUGAAGAAGAUAAAGAGGGGAAGAUGACUGGCGAGGUAGGAUGGCGGGGUACGCGAUCACUUGUAUUUAUUCAUCGGGAAAUGCCCCGAAGUAUUUUGUAUUUGGAGGACGUCCGUGAUGAAGGCCCGAGGCAUCGGGUAGCAUGGGAGCGUAGUAUAAAAUUAGUGUAGGGUAGAAUAGGAUUUACAUUUUCACAUUCUUUUUCUAUUUUGGACUGUAUAAUUAGACUGGACAUUGUUUUUGGAUUUGUUUGCUUAAUUGAUCGUUUUAUUUAUGUUUGGUGUGGUUUAUACAUUCAUAGUGUCCAAAUUAGCCGAUAUACUCCACCAAGCGACCGUGGUCAAACCACGAGAUCGAGGGGUGCCUAAUACCUUCCCCUCGGUCAACAGAAUUCCUUAGCCGAAAUCUCUGUUCGCGGAUUAGUUUUAUAGAGUCAAAACCAUUUUGAAAAAGGAUAUCCAUGGGUGACUUGGCACACCUGAUUUAUGCCAAGUGGCGACUCUGAGUUUUGAAACUAAUGAAUCCUUUUUCGAAACAAUUUUCAUCUUUUGUCACUUUAAUAAUAAAACCCUUUCGAAAUCAUAAAAAAUUAAUUAUUUUUUAGGAUUGAAAAAAAAGGGGUGUGACAGCUCUGCCGACUCUGUUAGGGAUCGAACCCAGAAUCUCUGGUUUAUUUUGGAACGGCUUAGUUUGGCACUAUAUGUGUAUAGGCAUUUUGUUUGUGUUGUUUCGUGUUAUUGUAUUAUCACUGUUAAGUGCCUACGGGCUCUUUGUUUAUAGUUUUUAUCUCAUGUGUUACCGCUUUAUAUCUAGCAUCAUGUGCAUAACCCAUGUCAUUCUUUCUGCAACAAGUUUGUAGUACAUGUGUUGUACACGACCUCUAGUUGAGUCACCCUUAUUUUAGGAGGGGAGCCGUCGGUGUUAUGGAGUAGGUGGAAAGCAAAGCAGCCACUAUCGACGAUACGCUCCCCCGAACAACCUUGUUAGUGAACCCCAACAUAGGUCAGCCUUUAGGUCAUGCUUAUGUGCAUCAUAUUGAAGACCUAGCGGGUCCCACUUGGUCCUUUGUAGGAAACUCACCUCUAAAGCAUCCCUACGUGUUAAAUAUUGCAUCUUUGAGGGUAACGAGGUCAUUUGAUAGACUGAUUUGGGCAAAAGCAUGAAUUAGAAGCAAAAUGUGUAGGAAGGAAAUUGUUGAAAAAAGGAAGAGAAAAAGAGUGAAAAAAAAAAGAGAUUUGGUAGUUUUUAGGGUUCUUUAUGACUUUUGUUUUUCACAAUUCAAAAAUUCAAAAAAAAAAUAUUUUUUUUUACUUUUUGCACUCAUUUCCCCCAAAAAAUAAAAAACACUAAAAAAAUUUCCUUUUAUUUCUUUAGUAAGCAUUCACAAUUCUAAAAUUCCAAAAAAAAAAUAAAAUUUCCUUUCAAUAGGAGCUUUGUACAUUGUUAUAUAACGAAAAUAUCAAAAAGAUUUUUUUUCUUUCAUAGUUGUUAGUGUUAGUUUCUAAUUAAAAACCCAAAAAAGAUUUUGUUUUCAUCGUUUGUCUUUAGUUGUGUCUCUCAAUUCAGGGUUUAGUUUGUCAUUUAAUCCUUAAUUGUCCAAUCUGAACAAACUACGCACCCCUGGUUCUCCUCUCUCGGGAGUGAGAUACGUAGGCAACCUAUUGUUGGUUCGGGGAUCUUAUUUGAAAAAUUCUAAAAAAAAAAAGAAAGAGAUUUCACUCUUUAUUAGAGUAGGUGUUUCAUAUACAUCUUUAAAAGAAAACUACAAAAAAGAUUUUUCCUUUAAUAGGUUCAAGUUUCAUUUUUCAUAUGAAAUUCAAAAUUGAAAACCCAAAAAGAUUUUUCUUUGGUAAUCAUAGGUUUCAUUUUGUAUAGGGAGUUUAAACUUGAAAAAAAAAAUCGUCAAUUCUUUUGACAAUUUGUCUUUUCCUUUUCUUUUUAAAGUUUCAAGAAAAAGAAAAAAGAAAGGAAAAAAAUUAAUUGGUAAUUUUGGCAAGACUUCAUGAACUACGCACACCUGAUUCUCCUCUAUCGGGAGUGAGAUACGUAGGCGCCCCUCUUGGGUUCAGUGACCUUUUCAAAAAGGAAAAAAAGGUUUUCAAAAAAAAAGUGUUGAAUUCCAAUGCAUUUGCUAUCUCUUGUUCAGUUAGUUUAAGGUGGUUGGUUUGUGGCAUUUUGGUUGAUCCUUAUAUUGCACCAUGUCACAGAGAAAGUUAUGGCAAACAAAGAUAUCAAGUUUAUUUUCACUAAUCAGAUAGGGAGUUCGGAAAAUGAGAAUUUAUGAGAUAAUGAAGAGAUUCGGAAAUUAAGGAAACAAAUGAUAGAAAUGCAUCGAGCUUGGGCUAAUGGGUUGCUGCCUCCUCUAGUUCCACUGAUAAUCUGAAAUAUCUUUCUAGCUUGCCUCCCGUGUCACAUGCACAAUUUUCCAUUUUUGUUGAUAUGCCACAACAUGCAUCAUGAUCGACUCCGGGGCAACAAUAUCCAACCAUUUCCAAUGUUCAUGUUCUCANNNNNNNNNNNNNNNNNNNNNNNNNNNNNNNNNNNNNNNNNNNNNNNNNNNNNNNNNNNCCCACCUGAAGCUCCUACUUUUGAUGUUCAUCCACAAGUUGUGCCUCCCUACUCUACAAGAGAGCCUGUAUUGAAUAUUACUGGUGAUCAGCGUUACACUUUCGAGCCUACAUUCAAGUUGACUGGUCUUUCUGGUGACAGUCACCCGCCUGAGGUUCCUCCUAAUACUGAGAAGCCUUUUAUGACAGAAGAACAAGAGGAAAUGACCACAAAAUUGAGAAGUUUGGAAUUGGCUAUGAAGAACUUGCAAGGACUUGAGGGUUACAAAAGUAUCUCAUAUUAGGACUUAUGCAUUUUUCCAGGUGUCAACCUUCCUCCUGGCUUUAAAAUGCCAAAGUUUGAGAAAUAUGACGGACAUGGGGACCCAGUGGCACAUUUGAGACGCUAUUAUAACCAAUUAAGAGGUGAUGGAGGGAAGGAAGAACUACUCAUGGCUUAUUUCGGGAAAGUCUUUCAGGCCUAGCUUCGAAAUGGUUUGUUGACCUAGACAUCGACAAGUGGAUUAGUUGGGAUGACCUAGCUAAUGAAUUUGUGCAACAAUUUUAAUACAAUGUGGAGUUGAUCCCUGAUGAAAAAUCCCUCACUAGUAUGAAGAAGAAGAAUACUGAGAGCUUCAGGGAGUAUGCGAUCAGAUGGUGCGAACAAGCUGCUCAAAUGAAACCGCCAAUGAAAGAAAGCAAAAUAGUGGAGGUGUUUAUUCAUGCGCAGGAUGAAACAUAUUAUCAACACUUUUUACCUGCAUUGGGCAAGUCAUUUAUUGAGGUCCUUAAAAUAAGGGAGAUGAUAGAAGAGGGAAUUAAGAUGGGUCGCAUUAUGAGUUUUGCAACAUUGAAAGCGACUACUCAAGCAAUUCAAAAGGGUUCAGGAAGUGUUGGGGAGACAAAGAAUGAGGAAGAUGCAUCUGCUAUUGUAGUUGUACAGCGGGAACGGUCAAGAAGACCCCGUCGUAGUCACUCUCAAGCAAAAACCCAAGUUCAUGCCCAAGCUCCAUAUAAUCACUCCCAAAAUCCAUUAUACUUUGCUCUUUCUCCUCCAUAUCUAGUAUAUAACACACAGCCUCAUAUUCAACCCCCAUCUUACCCACGGUGGAAAACACCAACUCCUCAGAGUCAUCCUCUAGCUCCACAAACAUACCAAAAUCCUUCUAAGCCUGAUUUUUUAUCCAAGUCAAAUGAUGAAAUAAGGCAAAAGUCGAGAGAUAGCUUCAUAUAAAUUGGAGAGUUGUAUGCCAGUUUAUUUUAGAGAUUGGUAUAAUGGGGCAUGAUUACUCCUCUCCUUGGGUGCACUCUUAAUCAGCAUUCAAGAAACUUUGAUCCUAAUAUAGGAUGUGCGUAUCAUUCUGAUGCUCAGGGUCAUAGUAUUGAAUAUUAUCGAGAUUUGAAAAGAGAAAUUGAAAAGAUGAUUCAAGAUGGAUCAAUUAUGGUGCAGAAUGUUGACAGUGAGGGAAGUUCUAGUCAUGCUAAUAUGCAAAACAGUGGCUAAGUCGUCAGGCUGAGCAAUUGAGAAGUCACCCCUCUUUUUACUAGGAAGAGGUCUGAUAGUUUGUUUUGUCUUCUUUUCUGUUUUUUGAAUUAUUUCAGGGUUGUAGUUUGGGAUUUAUUUUCUUUUGUCCCUUUGUCGUUUAUGUUCAAUCCCUUCUAUCUUUUAUUUCAACUAAAUGAAUUAUCNNNNNNNNNNNNNNNNNNNNNNNNUAUACAGUUCAUUUUAUGUUGAUUCUAGUGAUAUGACAUGCUAGUGGAAUUUUCAGCCAGAUCUUAAAAUCCAACUUAACCAUGAAACAUUGAAUCAGAGGGCUAAAGUUAGGAAAAAAAUCUGAGAAAAUAGGUGGAGUGGUGAGACAUUUGUUGACAAGUUGAAGUCUUCUUCGAAAAUUAAGGCAAUUACUUUGAAAAUCACAAGAAUAACUUGGUCAUCAAUUGAAAGACAUGUCUCAAUUAGGUCAAUAGUGGCUGCAUGAACAGAAAGAAAAUCAACUCUACGAAAGCAUGAGUCAUUAAAUGGGAAGGAUGUACAACAAAUAUAGAGUUGUAUGUUUGACAAGUAUAGAAAAGAGGUGACACACAUGCUCGGGGCAAGUUAGUGUUGUAAAACAUGUCAUAAGUGAUGUUGAUCGUGCACUUUCACAUUGCAUGCUAGGUACUAGUAUUUUCAAGGAUUGAUAUGACGAAGGCAUUUUAUUCUGCUAUCCAAACAUUGUGUCAUCCUUUGUUUACCUCAUUUGAGCCUUAGUGUUAUUUUCUUUCAUAGCCCUCUUUUGGAAUCAAGAUAAAGCCAACAAAGCUAAAAAAAAAAGUAUCGAGCAAGAGAAUAGAGUCAGAAAACUUCAAAAAAAAAAAUGUGUCCAAGAAGGAAUAAAAGAGUUUCAAGGAAAUUAAAGUCAGAAAAAUCACAAAGAAAAAAAAAGUCAAAAGGAAAAAGAAUAAGUCAGAAUCAAGCAAAAAAAAGAACAAGCUGCCAGAACUACGCGUGACCUGAUUCUCCUUCUCGGGGGUGAUAUACGUAGGCUGCCAUACUCUGGGCUCGGUUCAAUCAAAUAAAUAAUUUAGAAUUGCCCAGUCAAAAGAAACUGGAGCAUGAGUUAAUCCUCAUUGUUUGAGUUGAUUCCAAAAGUUGUAAGUCCCACCCCACUUCAAUUGUCAUUUGGUCUCCAUGCCAUCCUUUCUUUCUAACCCUAUCCAAAAGCCAAGUUACAACCAAAGAAAGACCUUCAGAUCAAUCUUCCAGAAUGAUCAGGCUAAGCAUGCAAUUGUUAUGGAAAACACAUUUUGGGAACUACUUGUUUUCCUCAGCAUAAGAAAUCAGGAGAGAAAUGAAAAUGAGAGAGUCUUAUCGGUGAAAACUCUCAUAGUCACUAUAAGACGAUGGUGAGUUGAUAUAAAUAAAAAUGAGAGAGUCUUGUCGGUGAAAACCCUCACGGGCAUUGUAAGACGACUGUGAGUUGAGAAAAAUAAAAAUAUGAAUCUUAUUGGUAAAAAAACCCUCUCGGAUACUAUAAGGCAAUAGUCAGGUGAUAAAAGGAAAUGAGAGAGGAUUGUUGGCGAAAACCCUUCAAGGCGCCACUAGCCGAAUGAGGUCUCCAAAUGCAAUUGGCCCAAGAAAGCAAUUCACUUUCAGGGUCAUUAACUCAACAACAAUUUGUGAGAGUUUUGGAUGGAAAGAUCAGACAGUUUAAUCCAAUAUGUAUGUGAUAAUCAUUAGAGCUGACUGUCAUUUUCAGAUAAACUUUUCUUUCAUCUUUUUCAAUGGGGACAUUCAUUAUCAUUUAUUUCUUUUCUAUAGUUAUAUUUUUAUUUUCUUGAGUCAGUUAUCCAAAUAAAAUUACUGUCAUUUUUCUCUUGUUUUUGAGUCAAGUCUAUGUCAAAACAAGUGACAAAAGAUUUCAAAAAUGACUACCAGCUUUUUCAAUUGUACAAAGCAAGGCAGAAAAGCCAAUGCAUGAAAGAGACAUGAUUGUGAGCCAAAAUGAGGCAAGCAGAAAGUUUUGUCAACAAAUAAGUUUAGGAACUCAUGAAAUACCAAGGUUCCAAGGGGUCUAUCUGAGAAGUAUGACAAAGCAGAGAUGUUAUGUUUGUCUCAGUCACUCUUAAUAAUCUGAGUUUGGUCAAUGAAGCACAAGUCAAUGACAUGGGCUAAUGGUUGAAAUCAAGGUUAAAUGUGAUGACGGCAAGAGCGUUUACCACGAAAGCCAAAGCCACAAACCAGCCACCAUAUUUGUAAACUCACAACCUUUCUUCGCAUGAAAUAGGAAAACAUGUUGCCUUCAAAUCAAGAAUUUUAAAGCCUAAACAUCAAGGCCCUUAAUUUCUUACUUUUAAAAAUGCAGGAAGCAAUGUUGCUGCACAAGUUUGAUAAUUAAAUCGUGGUAAAAAUUCAUCAUCUUAUAUCCCUCGAAGACACACUUUCUUGUCCAGGGAUUUCAGUUCUCAUUUGUUGGAUGAUACACUUCUUAAAUUGACCCUCACUCCUAGAAGACGUACCUUUUAGUCAAGUCAUUCCCUUUGAUUCCUAUAAUACGUACAUUUUAGUCGAGUCAUCUUCUUUGAUUCCUAUAAGACGUACCUCUUAGUCGAGUCAUUCCCUUUGAUUCCUAUAAGACAUACUUUUUAGUCGAGUCAUUCCCGUUGACCCCUAAAAGACGUACCUUUUAGUCUAUUCAUUCCCUUUGAUUCCUAUAAGACGUACCUUUUAGUCGAGUCAUCUCCUUUGAUUCCUAUAAGACGUACCUUUUAGUCAAGUCAUUCCCUUUGAUUCGUAUAAGACGUACGUUUUAGUCGAGUCAUUCCCUUUGAUUCCUAUAAGACGUACCUUUUAGUCGAUUCAUUUCCUUUGAUUCCUAUAAGACGUAUCUUUUAGUCGAGUCAUUCCAUUUGACCCCUAGAAGAUGUACCUUUUAGUCGAGUCAUUCCCUUUGAUUCCUAUAAGACGUACCUUUUAGUCGAGCUAUCUCAUUUGAUUCCUAUAAUACUUACCUUUUAGUCGAUUCACUCCCUUUGAUUCCUAUAAGAUGUACCUUUUAGUCGAGUCAUCCCCUUUGACCCCUAGAAGACGUACCUUUUAGUCGUGUCAUUCUCUUUAAUUCCUAUAAGACGUACCUUUUAGUCGAGUCAUUCCCUUUGAUUCCUAUAAGACGUACCUUUUAGUCGAGUCAUUCCCUUUGAUUGCUAUAAGACUUACCUUUUAGUCGAGUCAUUCCCUUUGACCCCUAGAAGACGUACCUUUUAGUCGAGUCAUUCCCUUUGAUUCCUAUAAGACGUACCUUUUAGUUGAGUCAUCUCCUUUGAUUCCUAUAAGACGUACCUUUUAGUCUAGUCAUCUCUCUUGAUUCCUAUAAGACUUACCUUUUAGUCGAGUCAUUCUCCUUGACCCCUAGAAGACGUACCUUUUAGUCGAGUCAACCCCUUUGAUUCCUAUCAAACGCACCUUAUUGUCGAGUCAUUCUUCAUGAUUCCUAUAAUGAUGUGACUUUCGCAAAAGUCCUUUGAUGAUAAACUGGGGCAAAAUUUAAUUCUUGUGUUGGAACUUCACUUUCCUGAUAUAUGAAAUCUCUUUAUAAUAAUCUUUGUUUGGGAUAAUUUUCUUUCUAGUUUUGAUGUGAUUUCAGGAGCCCUUCCAAAGCACAGGGCGAAUAAAUGGAAAGUCAAGCAGUAAGGUGAAGAAAUUGAAAGUCAGGCAACAAGGUGAAGAAGUUGAAAGUCAAGUAACAAAGUGAAGAAAAUGAAAGUCAACAGAUCGAAAAUAGCAAGUCAGGAGCCUGCCUGGAGAAUAGGGUGAUGAAAUUGAAAACCAAGCAACAAGUUGAAGAAAUUUUAAGUCAGGAGCCCGCCUGAAGAAUAGGGUGAUGAAACUCAAGUCAAGAGUCCAACAGAAGCUGCGUGGAUAGGAUUUUAUAAUUUCAUUUAUGUUUUUAACUUGUAAUUUUUAUUUUUGAUGUAAUAACAGGGCCGCGGACCGAAACCUCGAUGAGACCUCACUCGACUCUCCAACUCGGCAUUGUCCAUCUCCUUCCAAUCCUUUGAGAUAACUGUCACUCGAUUCCCUCAUAACUUGGGUAGGUAGGAUGUCCUAAGUCAAGACCUAGUUUCCCUUCUUCCUUGUGCUUCGUGCUUUUAAAUAAAGGUCAGGACAAAAUUCUAUCUCGUUGUCACGUAAUUUUGUCAUUUCCCAAAAAUAUUUUAAUCAUUUUUUUAAUCUUUUUUUAUUCACCUGACCAUACUUUUGUUUAAUUGAUAAUUUCUCCCCCAAAAAAGAAUUGAAAAUAAUUAAAUACAUAUCAUCUUUGUCACCUCACUACGCCACCUCAACACCUCACUUUCCAUUUUUCAUUGGAUACAUGCAAAAGACACAUGCCCUACUCAUUUUUUCACACGUCACCCUCAUCUUUCCACAUGCCACACUAACUUUUCCACAUGCCACACACUUAUUCCCACAAGCCACCAAUUAUAUGCUUCCACAUAGGAUAAUAAAUAAAGAAAAAGAAAAACUAAAUAAAAAAUAUAAAAGGAAAAUUCUAAAAGGGGAAAAAGGAGGCUCAUUCUUUCAUCAUCAUCUUCUCCACAAUAACAAUAAUCACCAAAUCAUCUUCCUCAGAAGAAGAACAAAAAAAAUCAAAGGAGAGAAGAGAGAAUUGUGCGGGAGAGAAAACAAAAUUGAGAGAAAAAUAGUAUCGUAAAUAGUGUCGUGAACAGUGUUGUGAACAGUACCGUGAACAGUGUUGUGAAUAGUAUCGUGAACAGUGCAUGAACAGUGUCGGUUUUUGGGUUCGAUUGGAUUUACGGAGCUUCAGUUUUGGGUCUCAAAGUUUUCAAUAUGGAGUUGGAGUUCGUCAUUGUUGAAGUCCUAUUAGGAAUUCUAUAGUUCGGGCUUUCUUGAUUUUAUUAUCAACGAAAUCGAUUUUUCAAAGGUCCAUCUCUCAACUCUACUUUUUUAUUAUAUCGAAGUUGGUUAAUAUAGUGAUUUUGUGCUGCGGUUUUGAAUAUUUCGAGCAAAAUGUUAAUUAUUGUUGUGGAUAUGAAUGAUUGGUAUGCUUAAUUAUUUGAAUCUUCGUUGGGGUAUGUGUUGUUGGUUUCGAAUUUUGAAAAGUGAUUUGAUAGUCGAACUAGUUUAAUAAUGUGGUUAAAAAUGGAUUUGGGGGAUGAAAUUGAGAAAUUGAUAAAAAAGUUGAAUUUAGAUUAGCUUUGGUUUAUUGUUGUUUUGUUUAAUUCGUAACGAGCAUGAAUAUUGUUAGAAUAUGAUAAAUUAUGAUAUGUUGAAAUGGAUAGGCGAAUGUUGGUUCGGGUUGGUAAAAAUUUAGGAAUAAGUUUUCUUGUUGAAUGUUUGAAUGUGGAGUUUGAGUUGAACAGUUUUGUUUUAGUUCUUGCAUUUGGAAAUGUAUUCAUUUAAUCGGGGAAUGCCCCGCGAUCACUUGUAUUUAUUCUCCGAGGAAUGCCCCAAAGUAUUUUGUAUUUGGAGGACGUCCAUGAUGAAGACCCGAGGCAUUGGGUAGAAUGGGAGCACAGUAUAAAAUUAGUGUAGGGUAGAAUAGGAUUUACAUUUUCACAUUCUUUUUCUAUUUUGGACUGUAUAAUUGGACUUGACAUUGUUUUUGGAUUUGUUUGCUUAAUUGAUUGUUUUAUUUAUGUUUGGUGUGGUUUAUACAUUCAUAGUGUCCAAAUUAGCCGAUAUACUCCACCAAGUGACCGUGGUCGAACCACGGGAUCGAGGGAUCCCUAACACCUUCCUCUCGGUCAACAGAAUUUCUUAGCCGGAAUCUCUGUUUGCGGAUCAGUUUUAUAGAGUCAAAACUGUUUUGAAAAAAAAUAUCCACGGGUGACUUGGCACACCUGAUUUAUGCCAAGUGGCGACUCUGAGUUUUGAAACUAAUGAAUCCUUUUUUCAAAAUAAUUUUCAUCUUUUGUCACUUUAAUAUUAAAACCCUUUCGAAACCAUAAAAAAUUAAUUCUUUUUGGGAGUGAAAAAGGGGUGUGACACCAAUUACCCAGAUGAGCUCUGAGUCGUGUUAUAUUAGCAAAAAGGGGCAGAGGGGGAUAUGCCUGACCUCAAUACAACACACAACCAUAAGUGAUAUCAAUUGUAAGUGAUAUCACUCCACCAAAAGGCUUACAAAAUUAUUAUAUUGCCUUCUAGUACCUACACAAAUAUAUACUAGCUAAUAAAAAAGUUGGAUUUGUCAUAUUUACAUCUAAGACUAGGCAUCAUUCACUUAUCUAAUUGAAUGCAGCCUCUAGCAUGUAUAGGAAGAUGAGAAAGGGACUGAGUAAUAAGAUUCUGAGUAGAGGUGGAAGCCAAUUUGGCUAAAUAGUCAGCAACUUGAUUCCCCUCCCGGAAAUAGUGAUUUACUUGAAUCCCAAUUCUAUUCUUGAUAAUUUUGAUGUUAUCCAACACUUGUUUCAGCUUCAUAUUAGUGACAAGAUUAUUGUUUAGCAUGUUGGUUAUGAUCGUGGAGUCUUGUUCGAGGGUGAAAUUAGUGUAUCCUUGAUGUUUACACUAUUUCACUCCAAACUCGGCUUUCAAAGCCUCUGCCAUAUUACUGCUAUUACAACUGACAGAAAUGGAAAAUGCCAUGACCAUAUCGCCUCGACUAUUUCUUACAAUUCCACCAAUACCAGCCAUACCCCUUUCAUGUAAGUAACUACCGUCCGUAUUGAUUUUAAUAUAGUCAGCUUGAGGAAAACUCCAAGUAACCUGAUGUAACUUUUGAAAAGGCCAGAGCUUCUUUAUUGUGAGAGACAGAGUUGGCCAGUGAUUGAUGUCUUGCAAGUCUUUAAAAUAUUUCAGCAUUACAGAUUUGAUAAGACCAAAAUCUUGAUAAAUCAUCUUACUGUAACAGAAGUGUCUUUGGCCUCCAAACUUACAAGAACACCAUUGUUUCCAAAUUUCCCAACAAAUGAUACUAGGAGUGAUCUUCAAUAGAAUUUUAUGUAUAUCAUUCUCUGGUCUUAUACUCCACCAACUGUUAAAGAUGUCGACAAUUGGUUGAUUUACAUGUUGAAUUUCAAGGGGAUUUCCCAUGGUAUUCCAUAUGUGCUUUGUUGCGCUGCGUCCCCUUCUCCAAAAACAUGAUGCAUAGUAUCAUUUGUACAAUCCUACAACAAAAACAAUCACUUUGUGAGUUAAUAUUGAAUUUAAUGAUAACAUCAUUAAAAGAUAACCUCCUUUUAUAUAUCCUUCACGCCAGAAAAGAGAUUUUAAAAGGAACUCUAUUAUGCCAAAGAUUAUUUAGGAAAUUAUUUUUUGACCUUUGAUUCCUAACAAUAUGCCAGGCAGAAUCAUUAGUGAAAAUACCAUUCUCGGAGGGAUUCCAUAUGGGGUAGUCAAGUUCAUUAUUAUUUCCAAUUACAAUAUUAGAAAUCAAGUUCACAAUGUAAUUAGGAAUAACAGUACUUAACUUUUCAACGUUCCAGGUACCAUUUUAAAUAAAAGAGUUGAUAAGAAUUUUUGGAGACUUACCUGGGCUCUGGCACAGCUUGGCCAAGGCCCCUAAACCUGUCCAAUUGUCCCUCCAAAAGCUGGAAUUUCCUACUUGAAAUUUCUAUAUAAUGUGAAGUUCAGCUUGUGCUUUGAUCUUCAUUAGGUUUUUCCAAGUGUGAGAGUCAACUGAAGUAGGUUUUUUGCUCACCGGAUGUGAUCUCUUGCAAUACUUCUUCAUUAAAAAAUCUGCCCAAAGAGAUGGUUGAGUCCUGAACCUCCACCAUCUUUUUAGUAUCAAGGAAUUGGAGAUAUCAUGCAUGCUUCUUAUUCCAACACCUCCUUCAUCUUUCGGGAAACACAAAUUUUCCCACUUGCUGCAGUGAUACUUACUCUUACCAUCACUAGUUCCCUAAAUAAAAUUAGCAAAAUGCAUCUCGAUAAUACGGAUGGUACCCUUAGGUGGGUUGAGGGAAGAAAGAGUAUAAAUAGGUAUGGAUUGUAGAACAUGCUUAAUAAGGGUAAUUUUGCCUCCAUGAGAAACCAUGCUACUUUGCCACCCAUUUAGUCUCUUAACAAUUUUUGCAAGCAUACUAUCAAAAUAACUGAGAUUUUUCUUUUACUAUAUAUUGGACAACCCAAAUAAGUGAAAGGAAAUUUUUUAUCCAUAUAACCAGUCAUCCUUCGCAUUCUGUUAAUCCUUUGAGGAGCAGUAUUUCGAGCAGUAAUGAAAAAGCUCUUGUUAUUAUUCACUUUCUAACCAGAGGUUUUCUCGUACCUCCUGAUUUGAUACUUAAUAAGUUUGAUGGUCUUAUUGUCACCCCCAUUAAAAAUCACUAUAUCAUCAGCAUAAGCUAGAUGAUUAAUGAUACGACCAUUGUGAUUCAUGCUGAAAUGAGUAAAAUUCUCAUCGGAGCUGAGAUUGUUCAACAUUCUAGAUAAAAGCUCAGAGCCAAUGAUAAAGAGAGAAGGAGAGAGGGUAUCACCUUGUUUAAGGCCAUGGUUGGAGCUAAAAUAACCCCACUUUAGUUCCAUUAAUGAGAAUGGAAUACUAGACAUUGGCGAUAAUCCUCCAAAUCAUAUCAAGCAAAAUACCAGAGAAACCGAACCUCUUCAACACACUCAUUAAAAAAUUUCAUGACAUUUUAUCAUAUGCCUUGGCCAUAUCAAGCUUCAUUAUUAGAUUGCCGCCUUCGUUGUAUUGCUUAGUACUCUGAGCAAUCUCUUGAGUAAGUAAAACAUUAUCGGUGAUUGAUCUACUUUUAACAAAACAACUUUGAUUAUCAGAGAUUAUCCUACCCAACAAGGGAUUACGCCUAUUCGCAAGAAUUUUGGAAAUAAUUUUACAAGUGAAAUUACUCAAACUAAUAGGUCUAAGUUCAGAAAAAUUAGAAGGAGAAUCUAUUUUAAGAAUAAGAAUCAGAUAAGUAUGUGAAUAAAACUUAGACAAGUUCUUUCCCCUAAAGAAAUCUUGAACAUAGUUCUUAAUAUCGUCUUGAAUAAUAUCCCAGCAACUAUGAAAAAACAUACCAGAUCCAUCAGGCCCUGCUGCACUUGUUGCACUCAUACUGAAACCGCAACUUUAACUUCUUCCAAAUCAGGUACUGCAAUGAGUUUGUUGUUUUCAUCAUCUGUAAUACAAGGAUUAAUAGAAUUCAAAAUGUUGAAGUCAUUAAAAUAAUGAGGACUGUUGAAGAGUUUUUAAAAUGUUGGAUUGCAGCUUUAGCAAUCUUGUCACUUCCUUGGACCCAUUUGUUUUUGUGGUUUUUGAUUCUGUUAAGUUGGAGUCUUCUUCUCCUUUCUCUAAUAACGCUAUGGAAAUAUUUAGUGUUUGAGUCUCCCUCCUCAAACCAUCGUGUUUGAGCUUUCUUCUUCAAAAUGUUAUCUUGGAGGUUCAUCAAUCUAAUAUACUCAGCCUGUCGUUUAUUGAGUUCUUCCCUGCUCAGAUCACUGGUAUUUAGCAGAUCUGAUUCUUCCAGAUUCAACAUAAUGGAUUUAUUCACAUGGUCAAAAACAUUACCGUCUACAUUCCGAGACCAGUGGCUGAGUUUCUUGUUGAGGAUUUUUAGCUUUUGCUGUAGAAUCCACUGAGCAUUUCUAGCGAUAUGAACAUUCCAAGUAUCCUCAACAAGUUGCCUGAAAGAAGGUUGAUCAACCCAGAAGUUCAAAAACUUAAAGUAUUUAAUCCCACAUUGAGAACUAUCAUAGCACUUUACUAAGAGGGGUCUAUGAUCAGAUCCGACUCUAGGAAGGUGUCUGACAAUAUUAGUUUGAAAAAGGAUUGCCCACUCAUCAUUAAUGAAAACUCUAUCAAGCCUUUUCCAAAUUCUCUCUUUUGAAAUUGUAUUAUUACACCAAGUGAAUUUAGGACCUAUGAAUCCCAAAUUUGACACUUCACAAGCAUUCAUACAACUGCUAAAGUCGAAACUUUUAGCCAUUCUAUGUGGUUUUCCACCAAGUUUUUCGUCGGGAUCAAGUAUGACAUUAAAGUCCCCACCGAUACACCAAGGCCCCUGAAUAGAUUGGUCAACUCUUUCCAAAUCCUCCCAGAGAUCCUUCCUUUCCAAAGGGGCGCACUUAGUAUAUACAGUAGUGAUGAAAAUGUCCUUACAAGUGUUGGAGUUUUGCAACUUUAUUGUGCUCUGUUGAUCAGUAUUGCUAAAAAUAGAAGCGUUGUAAUUUCCAACCCAAAAAAGCCAGAUCUGGCCAUUUAAGUUGGAGAGACUAUGAUGAAAUCCGAAGUACUUCAUAUACUUUUCAAUGUUGUUCAUAUUCAAGAAUGGUUCCAGAAUGGCAACAAAAUCAACUUUGUGACAUUUGAUGAGAUUCUUGAGCCUGUGAUUGGCUUUUUUGGUCCCUACUCCUCUAAUGUUCCAAAAAAUUGCAUUAACCAUGGAAACUAGAUAGCAGUCUUUUUGUUAUCCUUUGCUCUGAUAGCAUUGGAGUUGUUUCCUUUCUUAUUGUCCUUAUUUCUUCUGUUAGUAACAGGAGAGAAGUCAAUUGUGUCUUCUUCUAUAAUUUGUUGUUGUUUUAGUUGUUCCUCAGGGACAACCACAGUAACUCUAUUAGGAGAUGUCAUCUCAAUCUGAAGGUUCGUCUCUUUCUUACUUUUGACGUUGGUUUCCUGCUUCUGAGCUAUAUCACAAUUGAGGUCAACAACCAAAUUCAAGCCUUGCAUAUUUUUAAUCGCUGAAGGAAUACUUUUGGUCUUCUCCAAUGUAUUAUCCACUUGAGUUUGUGUAACCAAAAUCUGACCGGUUUCAUCAUCUUCAAUGGGUGAUAUCUGCUCCUUUUCGCUACAGGAACUACAUCUUUUAUCUUUGCAGUUAUUGGUUGAUUCAUUGUCUUGUUGUGGAUUAUCUAGCUGGAUUAAGUCAUUCUGAUCCAUUUCUUCUCCGUUAAGGUCAUUUGGUCCAUGUUGUAUGUCAUCAUUUCGAUUCACGGGAUUAAUAGAAGUGGCCUUGUCAUUAUCAUUGUUUAUGCUUAUGGGAGCUAUUGGAUUAGCAACCAGCUGAUCCAGGGGCGGACCCACGUGUUAUUUUGGGGUGCUCCGACACCCACUGAACUCGACGUAGAAUAGGUAUUACUAUAUAAGAAACACUGAAAAAAUGAUAUAAAAAAUAAGAAAGCACCUACCGAACUAAAACUUGUUUGGGUGCUUUGGCUUUAGGUGCAUCUUUCAUGUCCAGGUGCUUGAGAUCAAUAUGUACUCAUGUACACUAGUUCACACACUUUUGUAUUACUUAUGUUUUUACUUCUCAAUUUAUUAAACUAAAAGUACUUUUUGUAUUUUUUAAUUACUCAAACAAAAAAUUUGAAAACCUUUUGGCCUUCUCCACCAAAAAUCUUACUCUUCCAAAACAUAAACACCAAAUUUUAAUGUUGCAUUUAAAUAGUUAUAUAUUUAUAUUAUGUCAUCAUUAGCAAAUUAUGUUAAAAAAAAAAAAAUUAAAGCCCAAGGCAGAGCCAGAAUUAUGUAAUGGGGUUCGAACACACAUCCGCGGCAGAAGAGAGACCUUUAAUGAAGGUCCAUCACCACUAGGCCAAGCAAUAAUAUUUGUCAAUGGGUUCACACUAUAUAAUCAUAUACAGAUAUUUAAAAUUUUAGUGUAAAUAUAGAGUUUACAUAAAAGCUACUGGAUUCGUCCGAACCCCUCGUAGGGUACUGUAGCUCCACCCCUAAUUAAAGCACCCACAACCUUAAAAUUCUGGGUCCGCCACUGAGCUGAUCUCUGUCUUUCGGAGCAGAUUCAGCAACAAUUUUCUUGUUCCUGCACUUACCAACUUGUUGAAUAAAGUUAGGCUUGAAAAUCACUUUGGAUUUUUUCUUGGGGAGCCUCUUCCUUUUGCCUUUUAUGUUCUUGUUGGUGGUCCUGCCUUGAUGUUGAUACUAGGGACUGGCUCAUGAAUAGCUUCAGCACACACUUGACUCUUCUUAGUAUCCUCACGCAAUUGCUUCAUUUUAUCCUCAACAUCUCCAACAUUAGUAGUGUUAGACCAAAAGAAUACUAAAACCGUACCUAUUAUUUUUUAAUGUAUUUUAUAUAUUAAGUUUAUAUAUAUUCAUUGAUAUCGAAUAACAAUUGUUACAAUUUAUUCGCUCUUAUAAUUAAGUUUUUUAAAAAGAAUUUAACUGCAAACCGCCACUAAAUUCUACUAACAGCCUCUAAAUUUAGCAUUUUAAUAUAUAAAUUCAUUGGCGGGAACAAAUGCAGAGCCAGAAUUUCAACUAAGGGGUUCAACAUUUUGAAGUAAAUCUAGUCGAAAGGGGGUUCAACACCUAUUAUAGAUACAUAAAAUAAUUUCAAUCAUAUAUAAAUUGUAUAUUUUUUCAUCAAAGGGGGUUCAUUGGCUCCGCCCCUGGACGGAAAGUCUUGGAGUAACUAGUAAAUUAAAGUUGUUAUGUGAUCAGGAGGUCGGAUUCUAGUCAUGGAAAUAGUCUUUUACAGAAAUGCAAGGUAAAACUGCAUAUAAUAGUCCUCUAUGGUCCGACCCUUCUCGGGAUCCUUCACAUAACAUAACGAAAAUCUUAGUGCAUCGAAUUGCCCUAAAAAAUAAAUCUAUUAUCAUAAUUGAUGGGAGGGAUAAAGAUUCUUUACAGAAUUUGUGACAUUCUCACACGUACAAUUUCCAUUAAAUAGUAAACCAAUUGCCCUUUUGAUUUUCAUUAGUCAUUACACAUGCAUGCGUACAGUUGAAUAUGCUAAGAAGUUUCCUAAGAUUUACCAAAACUUCCAAGAACAUGAAUCUGCAGAACAUGUGUACUGUAAUAUGUGUUCAUCGUAAAUGUAUCUUUUUUUUAAAAUUCCGUGAAACCAGCCGUUGUUAUUCUUUAAGUACGCACUUGGUAAAUCUGUUCAUAUAUAAUAGCUCGCAAAUCAAGUACGAUGAGCUCUACUGAGAAGGCAAUGGACGAGGUGGGGAUGAGAUCCUCUAACAUCCCUUUGGAUACCACACCCGUUGCACCAACUCAAUCAACUGAGCCGAUGAGAAAUUAGGACCAUCUUACAUGUAUCAUUCCUAUUAAUUCAUAAUAUUUUAUACCCCAAUUUGACGUAUAAUUCUCGUGAUUCCUUGUUGUACAAUCUCUAAGAUAUUUCCUUUAUUGGUAAAUAGGACUUGUUCAAAUAUUACCAUAAGGCGUGAUGUAAGUUUUUUUGGGGGGAUUCAUUUAACUUAUUGAAUUUGAAGUUUAUUUAUUUGUAUUUAUUCACUCUUAAAUAGUAUUCCCUCUAUUCGAUUUAAAUGUCUUAGUUUGACCGGUAUGGAUUUUAAAAAAUAAAGGGAUACUAUUGAAUCUUAAUUAUAGUUCUAAACUUGUCAUUCUUAAUUAUAGUUUUAAACUUGUGAUAUGUAAGAUGUUGGAAUUGUAAAACUUACUACUCCCUCCAUUCCUUUUUAUAUGCUUCCUUUUCUUUUUUAGAGUCAAAUGAUACAAAAUUUAAUCAGCAUUUUAAGAUGUAUUUCUCAACCAAAUUAAAAAAAAUAAAACGGAAAGUUGCAAUUUAUAAUACUUUUCAUAUAGUUUUUGAAUAUCUAAUUUUAAUUUUAAAAAAUUACAUUAAUCUAAUCCAAUUUAGCUCUAAAACUUAGUCAAAUUGAAUGCGAUGCAAUUUUUAGGAUGACACAUUAAAAGAAAGGUAAGACACAUUUCGAGAUUCAAUCACAACUUAUUUGAUUUAUGACUUUAUGUACAUUGUCCAUGAGACUCUUGAAAAAAAAAUUAUAUAUGUCCCGUUGCCACAAGGAUAACUUUAUUAUAAGAUUUAUAAUCAAUCACGAGAAAUUUUAGAAUUCUUAUUAAAAACGUUUCUCUUCUCAUAACACAUGAAUUACUACCUUUUUGGGUUUGAAAUUUUUCCAAAAGAGAAAAUUGUCAAAAGGUUAAUUUUUCAAGAGUCAAAAUUCAACAUUAUAAUAAGUACUAUUUCAACUUAUAUGAGCCUUUUUCAUCACCAAUAUAUAUGUCCUAUCUAAAAUUAAGUUCUUGCAUAAAUAACUUUACAAAUUCUUAUAUCUCUCUCCAAAGUUACUAAGUUAUUAUCGAGGAGCUAAUUCAGUCAAAACUCAGUUAACUACCUUUAUAUUCGAUGCCAUGAUUGGAGGUGAUUAUGUUAAAGAUGGAAUUAGCUUAGAAGAAUUUGACGAACAUGAGAACAAGUGCCUCCUAAUUUGUUACUUGAUGAUGAUCAAGAAGAUUAUGAUUGUGAUGAUGAAAAAUUCUUCUCAAGGAUGAAAAUAUUCAUCAAGAAAAUCUUUCCACAAGAAAAUUAUAUGAACAUUCUUUUUGUUCUCAAGAGUAUUUUCGAAAAUGUGAAAAUGACGAUGAAUUGUUGGCACCAGUCCUACAUUUUGUCUCUAUGGACCGAGGAGAAAAGGGGCCCGACGAAGGGAAGAAAAAGAAGCCUUUAAUUAAAGACCAGAUUAAUUUCAGGGAAUUAUUGAAAAAGAAGGAUAUAUCAAGUUUUCUUGAGAGUUGAGACUAGUAGGAAUAAUCAUUGUAUAAUGUCAUCGUAACCGUUUAGGAUUCAUAUAGCGGAUCUCAACUUAUUUAAAGUGAAGCAUAGUAGUGGAUGUUAUUUCGCAUGAAGCAUGAGAAUAUUUUGAAUGGUAUCCACUUUCAAAACUUAUUUUGAGGGUCAGACAUCAAUUUUUUUUUGAUUUAUUUUUUAGGAUUAGAAUUUGAAAAAGGUAAAAAGUGGACCAGAGUUGUAAGGCCAUGAGCUUCUUUAACAUUUUUAAAACUCGAAGAAAAAAUAUAACUUUUUAAAACAUACAGCAUGGUCCCCCUUUUAUAUUUAUUAAUUUUUUAAACAUUUAUUAAAAUCAUAUAAUAUGUUCAACUACAUUUCUCUCUCCUCAAAACCUUCCGUCUCCCGAUUUUAGUUCAUAUUUUUUGAAAAAAAAUUUGCACGAUUCUUGCUUUCUCGGGCGAAAUUUUUCAGUUUCUCUUGCUCAGGUAAGUCUAAUUUUCUUCCCCGAUCAUUUUUAAAUUCAUUUUAGUAAUUUUUUCGAUGACGUUUUGUGUUGGGGUUCUUUGAUUUUGAUAAAAAUUGCACUAUUUUUCGUUGAAUUAGUCAAAAUUUGAGUAUUUUUAGUUAACAUUGUCGAUUCCGCAUGUUUAACCGUGUUUUGCAUUAGAUAAUGAGUAGAAAAAUUUUAAAUUUUUGUACUUAUAUUGCGUAUUGAUUUUAAAUUUUUUGUACUGAAUUGGACCCAUUUAAUGGUGUUCUUAUUGUUGUGAAUUGCACUGUCAAUAUCUGGUGAAGUUGGAACUUGAUUUGCAUGUUUGAUGUGAGGCGUUUUUCCAUUUUUCUUAAUAGACCAGUGAUAGAUAGAUCAACCACUACAGAUUUAUUUUUGCUGUAUUUUUUCGUUUCUAUUAAUAGACCAGUGGCCGAUAAAUCGACCACUACAGAUUCAUUUUUUGCUGUAGAUCAUAAAUGGUGAGAAGAGUUCAUAGAGCAAUUAAAAGAAAUCAAAAGAAGAAGAAGGCAAAAACGAGAAGGCAAUUGACGAAAAAUUAGUGGUUGAACAGGAGGUUGAAAACAUUGAAGAAGAGAAGAAAUCAUCAAAUGAAGAAGAGAAGGAAAAUGAGAAGGAAGAAAUUGAAGAAGAGGAGAAAAAAAAUUAUGAAAAAGAAGUGGAUGUGAUGGGCAUUGUUGAGAAACUCAAUCAAGAAAACAAGUAGUUUGGUGGAUUUGGAACAAACGAUUUUCUUAAUGAUUUGUUGUUUUUAGUCAUUAAUUUUUUAUGGAUAAUUGAAUUACCUAUAUUUGGCAUGUCAAUGAUGAGAUUUACUUAUGAAAUUAUUUUCAGUUAUUUCAUUGUCUCAUUAGAUUAAACAGUUGACUGCAUUGCGUUACCAGUUCAGCUAUUGUCCUAAUUUAUAUUUGUUGAUUGAAAACAUUGUAGAAGUUGUUCUCUAUAAUUUAUAGACUUAACAGACUAUCAAUCGAGUAAAUCAUUUAUUUACAGUAACUAUCAUGGUUUAUAGAGGUCGAUGAUAAAAGACAUAGACAUAAUUCUCUAUUAAUUAUAGAUUACACCCACGAUUGAUUUAAGAAACCAUACAUCUAUUUAUUUAAUUUUCUAUAUCCCUAUUACACCUUUUCAUAAAGCCAACAACAAUAACAAAUCAUACAAUAAUUUUUUAGGCCUUUCUCUUUUUCCCCGGCCAGAAUCAACAUUUGCUUCAGUUGACCCCUCUCAAUUUCGACUUCUUUUAGUGAUCCUUUCAAGUAAUCCCUUUGCUCUUCGGCUUCUUUUAGCAAUUCCAUGAGUAGAUCUCUAUUUUCUUCAGAUUUUUGAAGUCUUUGUAGUAUAUGGAACUUGGAAGCGCCUCAAAAAUUUGAUGUCGAUGGGCUGCUCGUAGGUGAGUCUUCGUCAAGCCACUUAAAAAAAAAGCAACCACCAUUAUCCUUUCCAACCGUACAGUUAAAGAAUAUUCGACCUGGAUUCGAAUCGGUGCGUGAUGUCCUAAAAACAGCUGGAUUGCCACAACGACAUAUGUAGGACACUUUUGUAUUUGAUGUUUGGGAUGCUUGAGACAUUAUAGUUGUUAACAAAAAUUAAAGCCAAAAGAAUAAGAGUGUUAACACAAAAAUAGUCUUCCUUUUAUAGAAGAAAAAAGUGAGAUAUUACCAUUGAAUGCGAUUUGAUGUGUACUUUAUUACCGUCGUAAAAAUCUGAUAUUUAGAUUUUUGUUACUGCUGGACUAGUUUCAUAGACCUUAUUUAUAAUCGAUAUCUUCUCAUGCGUUUGGUAGAUGAUGCACCACAUAGAUAGACCGUCUAGCAUAAACUAAGAGCUAAUUCCUUAAUAACUGCACUAGGCGAUGAUACAUAUUCAUAGACCAUAACUAGCACAUAUUUUGAGAAGGAAUAUUUAAUUAAUAAAAUAAUAAAUAAUUAGAUUUUAUGCAAUUAAAAGAUCUUGAACAAGUCAUGUAAUCGUAUGAGAGUCCACGUAAAUUGGAUAAGGUGAUCAAAAAUGUGUGAGGAUGGGUACUAGAUGAACAACAAACAUGCUUGGGACAAUGUUUACCCAAAGUACAAGUAUGUUGUGGAGAAUUCAUUUGUUCGAUCAUAACUCAUCAUCUCACAUCUUUGAUCACCACUUUCAACGUGGACUCUCAUAUGAUCACAUGACUUGUUUAGGCUCAUUUAAUUGCAUAAUAUCCAAUUAUUUAUUAUUCUGUUAAUUAAUUAAUCCUUCUCAAAAUAUGUGCUAGUCAAGGUCUAUGAUUAAAUAUCAUAGUCUAGUUAUUUAAUUGUGGAAGUAGUUUACAGUCUAUGCUAGACUAUGUCAGGUCGAGUACAUAACUAAGCAUAGUCUAGCAUAUAUGAUGUACAACUUCAUUAAUAAAUGUACUAGACUAGGACACAUAUUUAUAGACCAUGACUAGCACAUAUUUUGAAAAGGAUUAUUUAAUUAAUAAAAUAAUAAGUAAUUGAAUUUUAUGCAAUAGAAUGAGCCUAAACAAG
rnacentral:lncRNA from 1 species